UUCUUUUUUUUUGGUUGAGAGUGAAAUAAAAUUGAUACGAUGAUGACGUAAAAUGACAUAUAUACCUAUUCAACAAAGUUUAACAUAGCGUAUAUAAUACACUGUCCAAUCAUUUUUAACAUUCAAGAACAAUAAAUUUAAAUGUAAUUAUAAAAUUCAUACAAAUAUACGUAAUCUUACGUACAAAAUGAAUGAAAAAUAGUGGGUUUAGUGCAUUAACAUAAUGAAACCAUAAAAAAGUAUACCCUUAAUUCCCAAGAAAAUUUUCAAAGCAAAAUACUAAAUCUAAUGAAAAUUAUAUUUAUUUCUAACAAUUUUUAUCAUUAUUAUAUUGGUCUACUUUAUAAUAUGCUUGCAAUUUAAGUUUUGUUAUUCACAUGCAAAUUAAAACUUGCAAUAGUCUUGCAAAUUUUAAGGAUAUAAAUAAUUUCAAGAGAUCAAAUCUAUAUAGCUUGACUUUCAUGCUUACAAGUGGGGGAAAAAAGUUCAAAUUAAGAGUCAAAAAAAGAAGGAAAAAGAAAAAACCCAUUAAAUUAAUAGAUUGAAUACUAUUAAUUUCAAUUUUAUUAAUUUAGUGGAGUUUUGGCUUUUGGAUGUGUAACACAGCUCUUUCUCUGGGUGUCUAUCAAUUUGUUUUCUUAAAUAUAUAUAUAUACCAACUGUCAUCAAAGAUCAUCACUUUUUUAAAGGUGUUUUUAAGAUCAAUGAGUGUAUUUUGAGUAUUUCAUGUUAGAUUAAAAUAUAUAUGAAUAUCACAUUGUAUUAAUACUAAUAUGAAUGAUGAAUUAGGUAGUUACUAUUAACUAUUAUUGAGAAACACAACUUAGAUCAAUUGAUAUGUGUACGUGCUAAGAACCAUAAAAUUAAUUAGUGGUUUAAAAUCCCUUAUUCUCAACUUGCAUCUACUUGAAAAAUGAAAAAUAACCAACCACAACUAUUUUUAAUUAUAGUUUUUAUACUAAAUCUAUUAGGUACUAAACAAAUUUUGAACCAUUAUUUAAAUUUGAAUUCAAUAUUUUAGCUAGAAUAAUUUGUUUUCAAAAGCAUGUCUAAUUGCUUAACAAAUCUGCCAUGCCUUUUAGGCAAUUUAAUCUAUAGACAUACCUUGUAUAUCUCAAUGAAACUCUAUCCAAAAUGCACUCCAAAAUUUCUUUUCCUUACAAAGAUAGUACCAAUUUUAGGAUGAGAUUUACUGAGAAAAAAUAAAAUAUGAAUAUCUUUUAGCCUUGUUGAGAUCGAACUUAGUGUGCAUCCAGAUUCUAUGAAGAAUUUACAUUUCGUUAGAAAGUAUUGAGAUAUGAAUAACCAGAAUAGAGGGAGAGAGAUCUCUUCAUCGAUAAAUGAUAUUUUAAUUGAUCUAACCAAGAAAAUUAAAAUUUUGUUCUAAUUUAAUUGUUGUUGGACUCUAUACAAGUCAAAGACGAUAGUCAAAAGAUGGAGUGGGCCAACCUUUGAAGUAAUGACACAAAUAUUUCAAUUCGUUGUUCUCAGUAAAGACCUCUGUGGAUAAAAGUACAACUAAAUUAAUACAUUUCAAAACAUAUAAAGGACUAAACCGAGGAACAAAAGUGACAUAUAUUAUUCAACCAUAUUUUUUUCUCCUCUAAUUCACGAAGCAUUAGAGAAAACUAAAGGUGGAAGAUUAUUCAUGUAAAUGAAAAAAAGAGGUCCCAACCCAUGUGAUGAUGAAAAAAUAUACAACAUCAAAGUAUUGAAGUAUGAAAUUUUAUAUCAUUUGGUAAAGUAUAGCAUUAAAUUAUAUAUACAAUAUUGGUGUCUUUGCCUUUCCCAAGUAUACAAUAUGACAAGAAACAGAUAUAUAUCAAAGUAAUGACAUGCCUUCUGAUUGAGGCAUCUCUAGCUCUCAAUUCACUAGACCUUCCCCACCUUUCCCCUAUUUUCAUUUUCAAAUUUAUCACAUUUAUCAAAUUUCAUAUAUAUAAUAAUAAUUAAUAUAUCCUUAAUACAGAAAUCUUAUCUUACAAAAUUAAAUGUUGAGCUUCUUUCAUUUGCUAAAAUCAUUUUAUAAAUAAUUUGGACAACCUCCCUCCAACCUAAAGUUUUCACUCCUGCAUUUCCAAAUUCUAGUCGAAGUAAUAGCUUUGUUAUUGAGUGAUUACUUGAAAAGUUCUCGGACUCGUGUUCUAUCAUUUUAUAAAUAAUAUGAUAUAUACCAAAAGUUUAAACUUUAACAAAAUAAAAAUGAUAAUAUUUUUUGGAUGGUUUAAAAUAUAGCAAAACGAACCAAAAUAUCUAUAAAUACAACAAAAUAUCGUUAUGUGUCCUACAUAUUUUGUUAUAUUUAUAAAUAAUUUUAACUUUUUUUCAUUUAAAAUAAAUAUUUGUAUUUUGGAUUAAGUGAAGUGUCAUGCAUGAUGAUAUUUCUUUUUUUUUUCUUCCAUCAAAUUUCAUUUAUAUAUAUGUACAUUUCCUUUAUUAUCUCAACCAUACUUCAUCUGUCAUCGUUUAUACAAAAUAUUGCAUGAUAGGUUUGAUUUCAUGACCAGUGGCUUGUUAAUAUUUCUAUUUCUUUUAUAAUAUUCCCUUGUUAUUAAUUAGUCUGAUAACAUAUAUUGUUUCGCAAAUUUUACUAAAGAAUGGUUUCUAAAUCUGUGUAUAUAUGCAUUUUUUUUAACUUAUCAAAUACAUAAGAGAGAAAAAAAUGAAAAGCAUUAUGAAUAUUUAUGGUUUGGAAAUUAAAGUUUUGCCACCAUGAUUUUGAAGGCUUUAAUUUCAUAUAAUUUUCAUUUCAUCUCAAAAUUAAUAAUUAAAUCUUCCAAAUUUUUAUUACUCUAUUAUUUUAAAGUAUAAUAAUGUUACUUGUAAAAGAACUCUCAAUACCAUUAAUGUUAGUGCGAUAAUAUUGAAUAAUGAAAAUUAAUUGCUUCCAUUACGAGAUGGUUUCAUUGUUAAUACUUUGAAAAUAGGUUAAAUUAUUAUAUAUAUUUUGAAAGGGUUAUUGAUUAGAGGUAUGAAUCUCUGAUUCCAGACAACGUUGAAAAAAUUAUUGAAUGUGAUAGGUGUAUCUUUCAUUCUUUUGCAAUUUGACAUUAGAAAAAGCUAUCAAAUUUCAUAUGGGAAAUUUCAUACUUCUUCUUUUUAAAUGAAAAUUUUCACAAGCUUUUGGUAGCUCUUGAAUUGUCAUUUCAUUUUUCAAUGCAAAGACAAAAUAAUUCAAAACCCAUCUCUCUCAACUCUAAGCUCUUCAAGGUUUAUGAAGUAAAUGAAAAAGUUGGGUGUUUCAUAUCCAUCCAUUUUAUAAAGAAACUUUUGUGAGGUCAAUGACUAUAUUUUUUUAUAAAAAUAUUUUAUAAUUUUUAAAAAAACUAUUGUGUUUUAUAUUUAAUUUUAAAACCAUAAUUAAAAAAAAAAAAAAACUAUUGUGUUUCAUAUAUAUAUUUAUUUAUAUUAACUUUUCUUUAAAUUUGAUAAUUUGUGUCGAUUAUUAUGUUUGAUAAAACAUAAAAUGUGAAAAUAAUUGGAAAACAUGUAUUGUAAAGAUUUUACUUUUAGUUUCUUCCUUGUGAAAUUUAUUUUAAAACUAAUUUCCAAUAAAAAAAAGUGAUAAUAAUAAAAUAUAUGAUUUUAGUUCCUAUACUAUUUUCUUAAGAAAGAAAAUUCAUUAAUGAGGAAAUUGAGUAACCAAAGAACAAAGAUCAUGUUUGAACUAAAAAUAAAACCCAAGAGGAGAAAAGCCAUAUCCAUCCACAAAUGGGAGCUUUUGAACAAAAGCAUUAAAAGCUAAAGAAUGUGCUAAUUUAUUACAAAUUUUUUUAGUGCAACUCCACAAAAGAAAAAAUUGUUAAAAUAGCUAUUGUGUUGAAUCGUCCUGAAUUUAUUUGUAAUAUGGUAUUCAAAUCAUCCAACAUUGGUAUCUUGUCUUAGACAUGUAAUAGUUUACAUGUAAUAAUCUACCACUUUGAAACUUAAGUUAUUUUCGUGUUUACAAUUUUAAUCCUCUAUUUAGAGGUUGAGUGGUUUAUACAUAAACAUUUUAAAUGUAGAGGCACCUUACAUACUAUGAAAUUCAAUAUUUCUCUCUAAUAAUAAAACUAUUCACUCUUGAUGUAUUACCUUUGUGCUUAAUGAUAUUUUUUGUGGAAAAAUGAUAAGAGUGCGAAAAAGGUGUUUCGACCUAAUGAGUAUGUUCAGGUGCACCCCUAAUCCCCUAAUCCAACAUAUCCUUUACAAAAAAAAAAUGUUCACUCUUUGCUUGUAAAUAAUCUUUGUGUUGACUCCCUCUAUAGUUUAUGUCUUUUAAUAUAUUUUUUUUAUAUGACCAAUUUUCUAACCUAUACAUCUACAAUAUAUAUAACUUUAAAGUUUGAAUGAAUGAUAACUACUAAAAAUUUUGUAUUUUAUUUUUCUAGGUUGUAAGGUUGUAACUAAAUCCUUAAAAAAGUAUGUUCAAACUAAACAUAACUCAACUAACAUAAAACUUACACUACAAAACAUUUGGUUAUCAAUUAUCCUUAAAAAAAAAAAUUAAACUCAAUUUGCAUAUCAAGAAAUUAGGAAGUAUGAACGGAUUUAAAUAAAUAUUCUUUUUGAGAGAGACAAAUUAAUGGGAAAAUUGACAACCAAUAGAUUAGGAAAAUGCCAAAAAAGAAAAUGAAAAAUGAAAAAAGUCUCAUAUCUUCAUGAUCUUGUGCUACGAUAUUGAGUUGCCGAGUCUUGUCUUUCUCCUAAUCCAAUGUGAUCCCUCUCAAGUUUACUCCUUCACCAUAAAAUCCCAAUUGAAAAAAUCUCAAACUCCUUCUAUAAAAGCCCUAAAUUCUCUCAUUAUUAUUCACCCAUUGGUAGCCAUUACAAACCAUAAAAAAACUCCCUUCAAUAUCAUUAUUCCUCUCCAAAUGGCUUCCAAAAUUUCAUCAACCACUUCCCUUCUCCUUCUUCUCAACCUCCUCUUCUUCACUAUGGUCACCUCCACCUACGUCCCUUGCCCGCCGCCGCCACAGAAGCACCCCAAGGGCGUUCCCUCGAAGCAGCCAACACCACAGCCAAAGUGCCCAAAGGACACUCUCAAGCUCGGCGUUUGCGCUGACUUGCUCGAUGGUCUAGUGCACGUCGUGAUCGGCGCACCACCGAAAACCCCAUGUUGCACACUAAUCCAGGACUUAGUUGAUCUUGAAGCUGCUCUUUGUCUUUGUACCGCGGUUAAAGCAAAGGCCUUAGGGCUCAAAAUUGACCUCUCAGUUUCCCUCAGCUUGCUCUUGAACUAUUGUGGAAAGAAGGUUCCAAAUGGCUUCAAAUGCCCUGCUUAAGAUGUCACUCUCUUGCCACAACAAUCUUACUUAACUAUCCUUUUCAUAAUUUUCACCUAUGUUUUGUUCUUGAUAUUUUCCAAUUUGGGUUAUGUUAUAUUGUGUGUUUGAAGGCUAUGUUUGGUCACUAUGAAAUGUCGUUUCUGUUGUACUGAUGGGUUUGGAAAUCUUCUAAGAAUUAUCCCACCAUCAUCUUCUAUAGGCUUUUCACUAUAGAAAUGUUAUUGUGUUUGUGUAAUAUAAAAAUAUAUAGAUACACGUAGUUUUUUGGAAUAAAAACAAAAAAAAUUGUCUUAUCCUUUUUUUUUUUUGUUUCCUCUUUUCUUUUGAUUUAAUUAAAGGUUUGAUGAUUCAGCAAAUGUUUGAAAUGACAUCAAUUCUUUUCAGACAUAUGGUAGUUUAGAUUUAGUGUUGAGCAAAAUAAUUAAAACAUUACCUUUGGUAUCAAUUUCAAAGUUUCAAUUCUAUGGGAUAACGAUAGAUAUUUAAUAAAUCGAAUAAUAAAAUCAUUUAAAUUAGUAAUUAUGUUCUUUCCUAAAAAUAUAUAUAUAACUUGUCAGGAACACCAGCAUAAGUUAGAAAAUAUGACAAUUUUGCAAGAAAAAAUAACAAACAAAGUUAACAUAAGAAUAGUGCAACCAUACUUGCUCUUUUACUACUCAAGUGCAAGGUUUAGUUUUUCACAAUCAUGACUACAUUUAUUAUAUGAACAAAGAAUAAUAAUAAAUAUAUAGUAAAUAAAAGCAAGAUUAGGCUUCUAAUGCAAUACUCAAUUUUUAUUUUUUAAAUUUUAACAAAAUGGACAAGGCAGAAGUAUCAACAAGUGCACAUAAAUAUGUGUCCACACAUCGUUAAUGCCCUCAUUAUCAACUUGGACACUUACACUAAAUAAAACACGGAUGUGAAAAAUUAAUAUAUAUUUACACUAAUGUUCUAAAAUAUUGAUGUAUUAAUAAACCAACAUAUCUUUACUAUACUUAUUUGUAUAUCAAUGAACGAAGAGGGUGUUAAGGAUGCUCAACUUAAUUAAGGUGCAUUUAUUGACCUACACUUUGUAAUUUGUUAAAAGAGAACACAAGUACAUAAUGUAUUUUACUAAUUUUGAACUAGACAUCUAUCCUAUUAAGAAUGUUUUUAUUUAAAUUAUAUUUAAAUGAUUGAUAAUUUACGUAUCAUGUCGGUAUCCAACAUUUGAACGUACCAAAAUGUCAAAAGUUAUAAGUAUAACUAUAGUCUAUUUUUUCUUUUCUUUUAACAAUAGAAAAUAUAGAAUUAUUAGUGAACCUAAUUCAAACGACUGCAUGGGAACAAAAUGGUCAAUUUCCCAAAUUUAUUGCAAAUAUGCUCAUUUGUCUUUGUCAGCUAAUUAAUUACACUUUCGGGCAACAAACAAUAUUGAUAAACUACAAUGAAGAUUUUACUCAAAAUAAUAAAUAAAUAAAAGACAUAAAAAUGAAAAUAUAUUGUGAAGAAAUUUUUCUUGGUGCCUAUUAAAUGUCAACCGAUUCAUUUUAGCUUCUAAAAUCAUAUCUAUACAUAAUUAUCGUAAAGAAAAUUAUAUCCAGAUAUAAAAUUAACCUAGUUUAGAUUUAAAAUGUUGAUGUUCACAAAAAUUUGAGAAACAAUAGGAGAAUCAUCAUAAUAUAAUAUUAAUAUUCACUACUAAAGCACAACAAAAUUUAAAUGCUUUCAGAUUAAAAUGUUCAAACUUUAGAAGUUACGAAGGAUCAUAAUAACGAAUUUAGCAAAAGUCAAGUUAAUUAUGUAACUUAGCUUUCAAUAUCACUUCUAGAUUUUUUUUUUUGUUUGGAAACGAGAUAUGGUUCCUAUUUUGCAAGCAAUACGCGUGGGUCAAUUUCUCAAUAUAAUCCUUGAUAUUUACUCUCCAUGCAAUUAAUGACAACAUCUCCUCCAUGCCUAAUAGUUUUUCUCAAACUAUUAAGACUUAAAUUAGCCCACACUUAAUUACCUUUGAAUUUCACUUAUUCUAGAGGGGCAAAAUGUAACCUUUUGAAAGCUAAUUACAUUUGCUUUAAGUAAAAUGAGUACUUUAAAAUUGGUAUUUUAAUUAUAAAAAUUUGCCACAAGAAGAGUAGAAAAAGGCAUACUUAGAAUUGUUUUUUUAAAAAAUAAAUAUAUUAAGCACGAAAAAUAAACAUACUUAGCAUUGCACAAAAAGAAAACUCUUUGACCAACUAAUCUCCACAAAAAAAGACCAAAAAAUCUAAAUGUCCUUCGAUAUUAGGGCCAUGUGUGCACGACCAAAAAAUCUAAAUGUCCUUCAAUAUUAGGGCAUGUGUGCACGACUCUAUUGUAGGUCAUACAACAAAAGGAUAAUCUCAAAACAAUCACCAAAUAGGUGAGGAGAAAAAUUGUCUUUAGUAACAAUAGUCGAUUCAAAUAAAUGGCUAAAGUUAUGAACGAACUUAAAAGAAUUCAGUAUAUUCAAUCACUAAAGAGGAAGGUCUACGGGUGAUCCAUCUCGUUUUUUUCUUUCAAAAAAAAGAGGAAGGUCAACACUAAACCUACCUUUGAUGCACCUCAAACCUUUAACCUCGCAUAUCCUUGAAAGAGCAAUAUUAUUGGUAAUAAAACUCGAUAAUUAUAUAUAGUCAAGGAAAUUGGAUUAAAGAAGAGAAUGUUAUCUUAUAUCUAUCUAUAGGAAAAGACCAAUUUAAUGCAUUUAGGUAAGUGUACUUACACAUGAUUGUGUGGGGGACAAGAAGUUUCUUUCAAAUUUAUUGCAAAUGUUCAUCAGUCUAUGUCGUAAGCUGGCAAAACACAAAGUAAUACAACACCAAAGCAUUCAAAAUAAAUUAAAAAUAUAAAUUAAAAAUAUCUACGAGGUGAAAAAUCUUAUGAGAAAUUAUUUUAUUUUCAAAGAGAAAAAUAUCCUUCAAUUUGUUUAGAUUGUGAGUAUUGUUUUUUAUAUGGCUUAUUAAGUUUCAUAAAUAUUAUUUUUAUCUUUAGGGUUUCAAGUUAUUUUUUCUGUUUAGUUUGCACCUACGACUCUAGAUAAAUUUCUAACUACAUAUUACAUUUAAGUAGUUUUUUUAAUAACAAAAACAAACUAUAUUUACACUUUGUGGCAAAAUAUCAUUGAAUUUUUUUACAUAAGGUGAACGUCUUUGAGAAUACGAAAGUUAUUUUAAAGAUUACAGUAAGAAUGAGUCAUUAUGUAAGCCCACUAUAUUACUACUUUGAUAUACUCCAUCAAAAGCUUGCUUAUUUAUGAUGAUAUGAGUGCCUCUAUCUCCACAAAUCAUCGUUUAUUCAAGAAUCUUUGAAAAUUUGGUAUCCCAAAAAAUGUAAGUUUUUCAUUUGGUCGCUUAUACAUGAAUGUAUUAACACAGCUGAUAAGUCCAAAAAAAAGGCUACCAUGCUGGAAUUUGAACCUAUCUUGGUGUUCUUUGCAAAAGUCACACUGAAGAUCUGAAUCAUCUUUCCAUUACCUAUCCCACAUCAUAAGACAUAUGGAGAAGGAUCAUCAACAUAAUAAAAUGCAAUAUUGCCUACCUCUGCAAAAGAUAUGUGUAACAUCAAUACAAAAGAUAAAAAAAGGGGUCAUUACCUUCAACUCCAUUGCUGUGACUCUAUGGACAAUAUGGAUUUAAAGGAAUAACAUGAUUUUCAAAGAUGUGGAGCAUACUGUUUAUGAAAUUUGGGAUGACAUUCAACCGCUCACUGGUUUUUGGACUAGUAGAUUGAAGCUUUUUAUUAGUUAUAGUGUUAGUUCUAUUGCUUUAAACAUCGAUGCUUUUUGCAUAAUUUUUGGGCUUAGAUUUCUAGUCUUGCACUCUUCUGGCUUCCUGUUAUCUUUUCUUUUAUUUAAUUUGAAUGAAGGGAAAGUGAUAAGGGUGUUAACGGGGUGUCUACUUAGUGAAGAUGUUCGGGUGCACCCAAUUCACCCAUCAUAUCAUUUUUAAAAAAAUAUCAAAAAUAGCAAAAUUGACAAAAUAUUUAUAAUAUAUAGCAAAAUUUCAUAUUCUAUCAAUAAUAAACAUUGAUAGACAAGUCUAUCAGUGAUAAAAUUUAAAAUUUUGUUAUAAUUUGUAAAUAUUUUAAUUCGUUUUAUUAUUUUUAAAAAUAACAAAAAUAGUUUAAGAAUAUUGCUACUAUUAAAAGAAUAUAAUAGACAUGGUUAAUACUGAUUUUACUAUUUUUUCUACUUUUCCAUACUUUCCUUCAAUUGUAAGUUCAAAUCUUCUCUACCACGAUUACUUUUACAAAAUAGUUUUUAUUUCAAACAUCAAUAAUUUUCUUUCUUUCUAUUUUACCCUUUCUUUAUAAUCAUUUUUAAACUUAAUUUGAUGGAUAUUUUGUCAUUUAUUAAAUCAAAUGAAAUAUUGUUAAUUAAUAAAAAUGAUUUUUUUAAUUAUUAAUUAUCAUUAAAUGUAAUAAUAAUGUAGAAUAUGAAAUGUCUUUAUUUAUUUAUUUUUAAACAAAACCACCCAAAAUUUAUGAUUUUACCUUUGAUUAUAAUUAGAUUGGUUUCAAAACUUUUGAAAUUUUAGUAGUUUUGUAAUAUCAUUUUUGUUACUAUAAAAUGUGAGUUUUUUUUCACUACAUUUUCUAAAACUCAUCUUCUUUUAGUUUUGGAGAUUUAGUAGCUUGAAGAUGAAAUUUUAGUAAUUUUAGUUUGAAGAUGUAAGUUUACGAAUGAAGUUUUAGUGACUUUAUGAUAAAAUUUAUGCUUGAAAAUGAGGAUGUUGGAGUUUGUUCAUCUUAAAGAUGAAGGAACAAAUUUUUUGUUACGUGAGUUUGCGAAGAAUGACUGUAUAUUGAGCUUGAAGAUAGAAUGUAGAGGCUUAGAGAUCAUGUGCUAGAAGAUGAAGGCUGGUGGAUUGUUAAUAUUUUUAUGAUAUUUUUAUUAUUGACUUGAUUUUUUUUGUACUGAAAAUAGGUAACUGCAAAUAUGUUUUUUUAUGUUAAUUUUUUUAAUUGAUAUAAUAUUCUUCUUUCUACACAAUAAUAAUAAAUAACGUAGUAGUCCUUUAUUUUAUUAUGUAUUUAAAAAUUAAACAAAAAUAUUUGUUAUAGUUUAAGAAAUUUUAUAUUAAUUACACCCUCUCUUGUUUUAAAAUAUUUUGUUUUGCAUAACUCAUUAAACGUGAAUAUCUUAGCUUUCAAAAAAAACAAAAAUCUUAACAUUCUCAUAUUUCCACUUUUUCCUUUUAGGUAAUUUUUUUAUUUAUACCAAAUUUAUAUUAUGCUAUUUAUACAAAUUCAACUCUUUUUAUAUACUAAAAUAAAUACGACAACUUAUACUAAAAUAAAAUGACAAAUUUCAUACUAACUGGAUUUUUAAAAAGAAGAAAAAAACUCAUUUAAGAUAAAAGCUUAACUUAUUUCCUAUACCUGGUUCGUUAUCUAACAAUUUUUAAAAAGAAAAACAACAAAGUCAGUGAUACAAACUUUCACUUUCUCAACAAUAUUUCAUGAAAAAUGUAUUUUUUAUUCAAAUUUUGAAUUCACAUAUUACUAAAAAUCAUGUAAAAUUUGUCGGUCUUUCUUUAUUGCUACAAUUGUAGUGAAUGAUUUUGGAGCAUUAGUAAAACAUUGAGAUAUUAUUUUAAUAUUUUUUAGUAUGUUUAUUAUAUAGUGUCCAAUGUUCCCCUAUAUAAAAUUUCUGGAUUUGCCAAUACAAUACACUACCUCGUUACUAUGUAUUCUUCUGUCGUCUUUUCAUCAUUGGGAAGCAUUAGUGGCUGAAAUUUUUUUCAUAGUUUUUUGUGUUUGUAAUUUAUAAUAAUAAUAAAAUAAAAUUUUUAUGUGGCUUGAUUUUUUUUGUUUUUAAUUUUUUUUUUUAUGUGUGGCUAGCAAUUAGGUCAAGUACAAUAUUGUAUAAUAUUUGAAAUUGCAUAAAGAGAUCCCACUUAAUUUCUAAAUUUGGCUCAUUCCCUUGCAAGUGGAUAUGUAAAAAGAAAGUCCAAAAAUCAAAAGUGAAAAGAAUUGAAAAAAAUGAUGAAAGUGAAAUGAUAAGACUCGUGUGUUUUGUAAUGUAGCUACAACUUGAAAUCUUACUUAGGAAUUCAAAUUUUUUGGAUGGUUUGAAACAAAUUAUCAUAUUAAAAUAUAAUAUUGAAAACAAAAAUCAACGCGGAAUUACAAAAAUAGUUGAAUAGUUUUAGUUUCACCGACAUCAGGAAUGCUUUUAAAUAUAGCAAAAUGAGUUAACUUAUUUACAAAUAUUGAAAAUUUUUAUUUGAUAUGUGAUAAAUUAUGAUAGAUUCAAAUAAACAUCUAUCACUUUAGUGAUAAAUAAUGAAUGUUUAUUUGGAUCUAUUGCAUCUUAUUAUUAUUGAUAAAAAAUAAAACUUUGCUAUAUAUUUAUAAAUAUUUCUAACAGUUUUAUCAUUUAAAAUAUUUUUUUCUUAAUUAAUUAUAUAACUUACCUGACUUAUUAGUAUUUUUUAACAAGCUAGAUAUACUAGAGAAAGAAGGGAUGUACAAAAACAUAUCACCGUUUUAGCACCCUCAUCAUCAUACUUUUCGACCAAAAGCUCUUGGAAUGAUAUUAUUAUAUAACGCCAACAUGAGCUCAACUCAAUUAACACAUAUAUGUAUCUGUGGACAAGAGGUUUUAGAUUCAAAUCUCUCAACUCCAUUUAUUACAAUACCUUUAAAAAAAAUACUACUAUCUAACUUGAUUGACUUAUUAGAAUUUGCUUAAUUAAUUAUAUAAUUUGUUUGACUUAAUUAGUAAAUCAAUAUAGCUAGUUUUUCUUUUUCUUUCUUCUUUUCUAAAUAUAGAAUUACUUGUUCAUAUAGUUCCUUUGGAGCAAUAUUAUUGGGUGCAAUAUCAUGGUGCCAUUUGGAACAAGCGCAACAAAAGAGUGGUAUAUAUGUUGAAGAUAUAUAACACACUAUCACUUAGGGAUGCUAUUAUGGUUGCAUCUCUUAUCUUUUAAUUGGAAGAAUUUUCUCUAGUUUAUACAUCUUUUUUUUUUUUUUUCUAUUUCUUGUCUAUUGAGCUCUUUUCUCUAGGGGCAUAGAAUUGUUCGUGUUUUUUCUUGAACAAGUCUCCAAGUUGGUAGAAAUGAAAAUUUCAAAGUGUAAGAACACAUUUGAAAUAAAAUCUCACUUAGGGAUAAUUUGUGUAAUUUAAUUUUUUUUCUUAUCAUAUAAAAUUUAUUAUUUUAUUUUUAUUACAUUUUUAUGAUCUUGUGAAUGAUUUAUUUGCAUUUAUUUGAGUAUAUGCAUAGUUCAACUACUGCCAAUAGUUGAGAAUUGUGAGAUGUUUAAAUUUAAGAUCAACUCAUGGAUGAACUAAAAAGAAUUUAUUGAAGAAAAAAAGUCAAUGGUUGAAAUUUGGGAAUAGCAAUCUGUAUUAGGAAAAUGGUUAAAUAGUAUAAAUUUUACAAAAUAUAGCAAAAUUUUAUAUUUUAUUAAUGAUAGGUAUUAAUAAUCACGGAUAUGCUUCUAUAAGUUAUAUUGAUAGGCAACAAUAAAAUUAACUGCUAAUGUCAAUCUUAAAAUUACAAAUAUAUUUUAAAAAUUAUUAUAGUUUUUUUUUUUCUAUAUUUAAAAAGGUCUCUUCAACGCUAUAAUGAUUUUCUUUUAUUCUAAAAAUAUAUGCAUUUUUUUUUUUUUGAAACUUUGGUGGCAGAAUUGUAGGAAUGUGACGGAUUUUCUUGACUUAUAGAAGUUUUCACAUUUGACUUCUUUUUCUUUAGUUCAAUUUUAUUUUUAAAAGAUCAAUAAUUGUAAAGAUUUAAGUAUACAAACACAUAUAUUUCUAUGUCACGUAUUAAAGUAUUGGGUUCAACUUAAAUAAUUUCACUCUUUUUUUUUUUUUAAAAAAAGACUUAAAGUGUGAUUUGACAUUUUUGUUUUCAACAAUGAGAUUAAUUAAAAAGAAUUUAAUUUUACCCUUUUAGUUGAACCUAUAGGGUGUGCAAAUUUCUAAUAUUGACUUAUUGGUUAAUUGUGUAGGCUUUACCAAGUUAAACUAUAUUUAAAUUGGCUUAGCUUCUUGCUAAAGUUUUAAUAGUAGGCUUUAAAAGCUAUACAGUACAAUGAUUUACAUGGUCUAUUGUAUAAUGAUUUUUCUAAAAAUUAUAAUAUAGCACAAGAUGAACAAAGUGAAAGAAUUUAUUUAAAAACGAUAAAUUUUCUAUAAUAACAUAUUAUAGAAGUAGAAAAAUUACAUAGAAAAGCACAUGAUCUAUUAAUAGAAAACUUAUUGGUUAGCUACAAAAUUCAAAGGUAGAAAAUAUGAGUAAAGUUAUUAUUAUUUUAAUUUAGAAAAUUACACACUCUUUACGAGAUUGUGUUUUUUGGCCAACACAAUCUUAAUGGAAGACACAUUAAAAAUAACAGUCUAAUUAUAUGAAUCAGGUUCUUGCUAAAAUAUGUGAUUUUCUUAUCGAUUAAAAACUUACCAACAAGUAAAGAAUUAUUAUCACCCAAUUUUUUCAUUUCUUCUAUAUGCAAUUAUUGUUCCAUUAUUUACAAACUAUAGUAUUUGUCAAGUCAUGUGGUUGAAUGUUCAUUCACAUGUUACCAUAUUUUAGAAGAUGAUUGUUCAUUAUACAAUGAAUAUCAUAUAAAGAAAAAAAAAGUCUUAAGAAAACAACAUUGAGUUUAGAUUAAUGGUUAGUUUUACUCCCAAAUGAAGUUAGCUAUUUUUUUUUACUUCAUUGAUAUGCUUAUUUUUAUUAAUUUGAGCUUUUGUUCCUAUAACAUAUAAUACUGAUAGUAUUUUAACCAAUACCGAUUUGUUUUAAUUUUAAAAAAUAAAGUUAUAAUUUUAUAACUUUAAUUUGUACAUAGAUGGAAAGUUAUUGUAAAAGUAGGUCUGAUUUGAUCUUUUACAUGCAUAUAUCUAUAGAACAAAAAAAGUCAUCAAAAUUUAUUUUGAUUUUUGGUUUUUUAAAAGACAAAAUAUUUUUUAAAAACCUAAAAACUAAGUAGAUAUUAAAGAUCCUAAAUAUUUGUUUAAGCAAAAAAGAGUAAUAAAGAAAAUAUAAUGAAAUAAGCCUAAAUUUACAAAACAUAAAAAAAAUGAGAAUAAUUGUUUGAAGUACUUAAGUUUGGAAGCAUUGAUGCAGACAUUAUUGUAAAAUGAAGAUUCCUUAUGCAUGGUUGAUGUUAUUGGUGGAACAUAGUGAGAGAGAAAUUGAGAUCGAAAGAAGAAGAAAAUGGAAGUUCAUCACAUGUUCACAUUGAAAAAUGUGCUUUCUCUGGCCAUUGCCAACCCUAAACUCAUCUCUCUCUGUCUCACAAACUGUACUUUUUCUUCACCAUUCCUCUCUUCUCAGCCAACAGAAUUGCAAGACUUGUAAGAUUUUUUUCCGAACAACUCACCCGUAAAUAGCAUACCAUUAGGUGCACUCAAUCAUCUCAACUAAGUUGACACAAUCAAGCACCCACCUACAUGAAAGAAAAUUGAUCGCCACAAUAAAUGGAGUUCAUAUAAAAGAUUAGCUGGACUAAAGGAAAGCCUUGCAAAUUAAACGAUGGGGGAUAAAACAAGUGUAGAUCUAGAUAUAGGUCUCCAUUGAGCAACAAAACAUAACGUUUUUUUAGUGAUAACUCACUCUUAUAAAUGAUUAAUGACUCGUCCUUCAUAAAACAUAUGAAACCUAACAAUCUGUUUGUGUAAAAGUACGCGACCGCUUUUUAUACAAUGUCACAUAUAUGGAAUGAUCAUGUCUAUUGUAGUUCUAAUGUGGUGACUAUGUCUAACUCAAGCUUCAUUUUUUUCUUUCUAAGUACUCCAACUACAAUAUUCAUGAGGAAAGCGUAGCAAAGUGUGAGAGAUGACAAUUGCAAUAGACAUGACAUCACAUUAUGGGUAUGAUCAUAGAUAUGAUAAUCCGUAACACGAUACUGUAAAGAAAGCAAUAAUGUGCUUUUGUAUAAACAGAAGAUUAGAUUUGAUUGUGCUAAAGGGCGAGCCAUUAAACAUUAUAUGGAUGAGAAUGAGUCACCUGUAUAUACAAAUAAAAAAAACUCUUAAAAUAUUUAUUUAAAUCAACAAAUAUUUUAAAAAAUAGCAAAUUUCUCAAACGGUUUACAAAAUGUAACAAAAUCUAUUCACAAAUUCUCUAUAACUCAUUUAAAUUUUUUUGCUAUAUUUUAUGGAUAGUUUCGUUAAUUCUUUUUUCUACCCAUAACAAUUUUCCUAAAUCAAUUAAAUUGUUUUAACUUUUAAACUAAGUUUUUUUAAAAAAAAUUAAAUGGUAAAGAACCAAAAUGCAAUAAAAACUAUUAGUUAAUUAAGUAUAUUUGUAGCUAGUUAAUGAUGAUUAUGAUUAAUAUAAUAUGAAUUUAUUUAUUAAUAAUUUUAAUUAGAUUAUCAUUGUUAAUUAGAAUUUAUUAUUAUUUUAUUGAUUAAUACAUCAUAAUUAUAUACAUUAAUAUAAUUUAUUCUAUCCAAUUACUUACUUUACAAACACUAGUAAUUAAUAAUUUAAUUGAUACUAUUAUUGGAUGGUUUAAAUAAUUAAUUUUUUUAGAAAAUUGAAUUAUUGUUUAUCAAUUAAUAUAUUAAAAAUUUAGAGAAUUUUUACGAUUAACUUUGCAAAUAAAAUAGUAAAAGAAUUUAUUUCCACACACAUUUAUGCAUAACUAAACAUAGGCAUCUUUAAUUUUUCGCAAUCUUAUUCCUAUCCUAAUUUCCUCCGUCCAAACAGUCUCUUUAGAUAUUCGAACAAAUAUUUGUUGAGUAGUUAGAAAAUAAUUAGUUAAAGAAAUCGAUUGAAAAUAAAUAAAUUUUAAAAAACUAAAAUAGUUAUAUAUCCAACAAAUUAAAUAAGUAUUUAAUUUUAGAAUAAAAGGAUCAAAAUAUCACUUUGUUUCUAUUAUUUAAAAAUUGUUCAAACUUGAUCAUUGUAUUUCGUUUAAACACUUAAUUCUAACGUGUUGUACUUUUAAAAAUUCUUAAAAAAUUUCUAACAAAGUUAAUUUCUAUGAAAAUUGAUUAUCUAAAAAUAAUAACUUUUAUACAUGAUGGAAAUACAAUGUGUGAAUAUGAUUGAAAAUUUUAUAGUAAAAUUGUUAAUUGUCAGCAAAUUUAAAAUAAAAUGAUAAACAAGGUAGGUGAACUAAUUAAGUUCAAAGUAUAUUAACUAAAACCAUAUUUUUAAUCUAAACAAAGAAUGAUUUUGAGACUUACUCUCUAUCGUAUGCUGAAUUUAAUUGGUUUUCUUUACAUACUUUUGAAAAGCUUACAUAUAUAUAUAUAUUAAGAUGUGAGUUGGUCAACUAUUAUUACUAGAAAUGAUCAAUGGAAAAGUUAUCGUAAAUGACAAAACAUAACAAAAUUUUAUAAAUAGACCGUUUGUAAAUAUUUUAGUUCAUUAUUCUAUAAUAACUAUUUUUUAAUGUAUAUUAACCAAAGAAUUGCUUUAGAAAAUAUGUUUUAAAUUUAAACUAAAUUAAAUUUUGUUUUGGGUUUUAGAUUCCUAAUCCCAUUCCCACUUCUUUUAAAUCACUAACGAAGACGGUAAUAAUUAUGUUUGAUGGGUAUCUUCCUCGUUUGAUUUUACAUAAAUAAAAAAAAUUAUAAAUAUAGCAAAUUUACUAAAUAUAUAUAAAUAUAGUAUUUUACUUUUAUAGGAUGACGGAUAGAAAAUAAAAUUUUACUAAUUUUAUAUUUAUUUAAGUAGUUAUGUUAUUUAAAACAAUUUUUAAUAAAAAAUGUUAAAAUAAAAAAAGUAGAGUAUACACAAUGCAUGACUUAUCUUUAACAUGCAUAAUAGUACCAAUUUUCUUUUUUGAAACAACAAAAUCUUUUUUUAAUGUGACAUGACUUAUCUAUAACAAAUAUAAAAAGGGUAAAAAGGUUAAAUUAUCAUAAUAUAGUACAUUUUAUGAAUUUUAUUUUAAAAAAUUAUAAAUUUGAAAUGAUAAUCAUAUCUUACCUACCAACCUAUAUUUCGCAUGUUAAUUUAUUAAUUUUAAAUUAAACUAUUAUCUUUUAUUAUAUAAUCUUUUAGAAUAUUUUUAAAAAUAGUAAAAUAAAUUAAAAUAUUUACAAAUAAUAGAAAAAUUUUAAAUUCUAUCCGGGAUAGAAAUUGAUAUACUUUUAUCUUAAUGCUAUUAAUAUUUAUUAUUGAUCGAAUCUUGAAAGUUUUGUUAUAUGUUGUAAAUAUUUUAUCAAAUUUGCUAUUUUUGAUAAUUUUUUUUCCGAUAGUAAAAAAUUACUAAUUAAAUUAUAUAUUAUAUUGAUUAAAUGUUAAAAUACAACCCAAUAAAAUUCAUUUGCUUUUGUUUUAACCCAUGUGCUCCCACUUUUUAUUUAUAUUUUCAAUCGAACAUUUUUAGUUUUUAACAUUUGAGCUUAAUUUCUAUAAUAUAGUCAUCAAGUUUCCAAAAAGAACCUAUUAAAACUAAAAUUUGAAAAAGUAAUUAAAUCUCAAAAGUUUUGAAAACUAUUAUCUAAAAGAUCAUCUAAGAGUAUUGACUAUUAGUGACUACAAUUUUUUUUUCUUUCUACAAACAAUGUCAAAACUUAUUCCUCUAAUUUAUAUUAUCUAAAAUAUAUUUUAUUUUCUACUUCUAUUAAAGAAAAAUGGUGGAUUGAAGAUACCAAGGGUCCUGGUUGGUGUGGUUUGAAAAAAAAUCCAAACCAACAACAAUUAAAUUUUUUUAAAAAGUUUAUACUACUGAUCGAUUGACUCACCAACAAUUUGUUUGUGUAUUAUUUCAUGAUUAGAGUCGGUUUGAAACAGUUAUUAAAUUGGUCAUAGUCGGUUAAAUGACAAUUUGAUUGAAAAACCAACUCCAACCGACCGAUGUGCACUCCUAAACUAUACCGACAACGAUUAGAAAUUGUAACCCUAGUCUAAAGAAUACAUAUGAAACAUGACAAAUUGGGUGUUGUUACCUAACACGUGGUUGCUUGUGUGUAAAACAGUCAAUAAUUGAUAAAAUCGUCCUGAAUUGUACUACUAUGUGAGAGUGUAUAUAUACAAUAUAUAUAUAUAAUGUAUGAAUUUAGAAUAGAAAUAUAUAGUGUGAAAUUAGGGAAUGUGUAGAAUGAACAAGUGGAGGGGAAAGACAAUGCAUAGAAAGAUGUGAGAAUCCUGUACAAUUUUUCUGAAAUCAAAAUGGUUCACGGAUUCUUCUGACCUCAACUCACGGACAUGUCUUUGGAAUUCUCAAAUCACUACCAAAGUUCCAAAAAUCUUCAUCUUUUUCUCUUUUAAUUUUCCCUCAUUUACAAAAGUAAGAAAAAGAAAAAACAAAGCUUUGAGUAGUUUUAAAAUAUUCAUUCAAUUCUCCUCCACAUUUUCAAAGUAGAGUUCAUCCAGAUGAGACUAUUGAGGUCUUAAUUUAUUCAAGAUAUUGAUAAAAUGUUCAUAACGAUGGACGUUUAAUUUGUGAAAAGAAUUGCCUUUUUCCUUUAAAUAUGUUCUGAAAGUUUUGAAAUUUUAAUUCACGUUGUGUGUUAGAUGAAUGCAUGGAAAUGAGAAAACAUUGAUGAAAGUAUGAAGAUGUGGAUUGGAAUUUGGAAAUGUAAAAUUACAUGGAUUGAGUUUAGCAAAAAGUUAUGAAAUAUUAAAUAGUAUUUAAACAAAAAAGGAAAAAGAAAACCUAGAUUGUGCUUUUGAGAACUGGGUGGAGAUUUGGCUCAAAAAGAUAUUCAUCUUCUUUUACGUGUCUUUGGAAAUCAAAAAGUUUGGAUACUGAUGAAAAUAUGAAGUUAUCGAUUUUAUAAAAAUGUCGACGGAUUAGUGUACGUUAUUUUAAAUGAAUUAUAUUCAUCAAGAAAUUCUUUAUAAAAUUAUAUGUAAAUUUGAGCAUAGUUUCUUUCAAAUUAGUAAUAAUGAUAUUUUUAAAAAAAAAAAAAAAACUAAAGGGAUAGAUCGGUAUACGAACCUCUUUAACUAAGUUGACACUUAACCAAUAAUUUAUAUAUAAAGAAAAAUAAUUUAAAUGACAAAACUUCUUAAAAUCAUUUAAGAUAUUUAAAAGUAUAGCCAAAUAUCACGAUAAUAUAUUUGUAACAGACUAUGAUAUGAUACAAAUAGUAAUCUGUCUUAAUUUAUCACUAUUAUCGUAAGUUAAUUAACGGUAAUAUUUGCUAUAUUUUGUAACUAUUAUGUUUUAUUUUUUAAAAAUUUGAAAAUAAACUUUUAACCUAUUAUUUGGGUGGUUUUAUUAAAGAGCGCUUGCAAAAAUAUUUAUGAUACAUUUUCUAAAUUGUAAAAAUAUCAAAUUUAAAAGGUGUUAUGAGCUGUUUUUUUCUAAAUGUUUUUGUUGUCGGAUGUAAUUUUUCAUUUAUUAAUACUACUAUGAAAUGUUUUAAAUUAUUGUAGUUGAUAAAUGUUAACAAUAACAAAAGAUAUAGAAUAAAUAAAAUUAUAGCAAACAACCUAAACUUAUUUAAUAAUGUAUGGAGUGUUUAUAUAUCAAAUUAAAAUUUUUAAUGAGCUUUUAUUUCUACAAUUUUUAAGGUGCAAUAGAACAAAUUUUCAAUUGGUUACACAACUUACUACUAUUCUCAUCCUUACACAUGCUUAGUAGAGUUCGCAUUAGUGAAAUAUAUGAGUAACUUAUUUUUAUGGUUUUAAAAUUUAUCUCUUGAUAUUUUUCGUAUCAUUAUUAGGACAUAUCAAGUGAUAUUUUGUAGACACAUUUUGUUAACUUUCUACAAAUCUAAAAAAGUAUUGAAACUUGUAACACACAUGGAAUGUUAUGAUAGGAAUGUGAUAAUUUUUCUUUGGGAAACAAACAAUUUGAGAGAUUUUUGCUAAUGUCAUUUUUUUGGUUUGAUUGCGAUGUUUGUUUGAGUAACAUUCAUUUUUGGUAAUUAUCUUCCUAAUAUUUCUCAUAUUUGGUUCUUAGGAAAUGUUCUAAAAGAUAUAUCCAAUUCCAAAUAUUAAAAACAAACAGAAACUAGUUUCUUGUUCUCAUCUAAUAAACAAAGACAUUACUUUAUCAUUUUUCUCGUACAACUACAAUUCAUUAUAACUAAAAACAAUUAUUAUAACAUAAAAUAUAUAAAUAUAUUAUUUGACGAUUAACUUUUAAUGUUAAAAAUAUGGUAAAAAAUGACGAAAAUGGAUAAAAUAUUUCAGUUUAAUUUUAUUUUUUAGUUUUUUUUUUUGCCACGAACCAUAAAUAUUGUAAUAUUUUUAAUAGGAGAGAAAGAAGAAACAUUUCACCUGAACCUAUUUAGAUUUCAUGGUUCAAGAAGCUUAAAAAUAUUAAGUUUAUUAGAGCCAAACUUUGGCAACGUUGUUUUCUGUCUAAUUAGUAAGUUAAAAUUUUUGAGUUAAUCACUGACGUAAUUUUGACCCAAUAAAAAUUAAAAUAAAUAGACAAGAAGUAAGAAACAUUAUUUACGAAACAUAAUUUUAUUUUCAUUUUUAAAAAACAUCGAUGAAACGACAAACAAAAAUAUACAGAGCAACACUUUAACAACUCUUAUAGUCUUUAGAAGCCAUUCACGGGCUUCUCUUUGUUACACUCUCGGCUAUAUAUACAUAUAUAUAAUCCCAACACAUCCUCACCUCUAAUUCAUCUCUAGUAAUUUUUUUUUUGAAGAACCCUAAUGAUGGGUUCCAAAGCUUCAGCCAUGUUUUUCAUUCUCUCAAUCUUCAUGGCCUUAUCUUUGCCCCCAAUUUAUGCUUGCACUCCUUGUACUCAGCCCCACCCUCCUCAGCCCCCUUAUCACCGCCCUUCCCACCCUAAAAUUCCCCAUCCAAAACCCCACCCUCCUCACCACGGCGGUGGAGGAGGCGGAGGCGGUGGUGGCGGUGGCAGUCGUGGAGGAGGUGGUGGCGGAGGUGGUGGCAGCCGUGGAGGUGGUGGUGGAGGUGGCGGAGGUGGCGGUGGACAUCAUCCCCACCCACCAAUUGUAAUUCCCCCACCAGUUAUCUCCCCACCAGUGAUAACCCCACCAGUGAUAACCCCUCCAGUGAUAACCCCUUCACCACCAUCUACAACCUACCCUCCUUACACUAGCCCUCCUCCUAGUGGGGGUGGUGGAGGUGGAGGUGGAGGUGGCGGCGGUGGCGGUGGAGGUGGUGGUGGACCAGGCUCAGGGCAAUACCCUCCACCAGCGCCGCCGGUUCAACCGACGUGCCCAAUAGAUGCAUUGAAAUUAGGUUUAUGUGUGGAUGUUCUUGGAGGGUUGGUGCAUAUUGGUCUAGGGAAUCCAGUUGAGAAUGCAUGUUGUCCAGUGCUUGGAGGGCUAUUGGAACUUGAAGCAGCAGUAUGUUUGUGUACAACUUUGAGGAUUAAGCUUUUGAAUCUCAAUAUAUUCAUUCCUUUGGCACUACAAGCUCUUAUUACCUGUGGCAAGAAUCCUCCUCCUGGCUUUGUUUGUCCUCCACUUUAGGGAUAUAUCCAUCAUCAUUUUUACUUCUUGUUUCUAGGUCUUAAUUGUCUUUUUGAUGGGGUUUUAUGUUAACAUCUCUGGGGUCUUUUUGUAGUAUUCAUCAUUUGGUUUUAUCUUUGUUGUCUUGGAUAUGCUUUUUUUUUUUUUUUCUUGCUAAGAAAACUCACUUUAGUUAUUUUUAUUUUUAGGUAUAUCUCUAAUAUUAUCUAUCAUUUACUAAUGAUGUAAUGAUUUAGAAUAUUUUCUGAUUCUCACUCUCUUGAAGUUGCAACUUUUUUUAGUUUAACACAUGAAUCUUCUCUCUCUCUCCCCUAUGUUUUUCUGGCUAACAAGCAUGUAACACUAGAGAAAUUUAUUUUUUUUUCACUUUCAACUUUACUUCAUUUGAUCUUCUUUUAUAUAAUAACUAAUAAGCAAGUAUUUGAUAUAUCUGUUAAAAAAAGGUAUUUGAUAUAUCUGUUAAAAAAAGGUAUUUGAUAUAUAAAAGACAAAAAAGGAGAGCAAAAUUGUUAUCUUAGAAUUUCUAUUGUGUUUCUAUCCUAAUAAAGGAGUAUAUUAACAUAAAAAUUUCGUCGCCUGAGAGAUUCGAACUCUCGCGGGGAAACCCCAUGUACUUAGCAGGCACACGCCUUAACCACUCGGCCAAAGCGACGUGUUAUAUGUGUACAAAAAGCACAAUAAAAAUAUACAAUCUCAUGUACAAAAUUAUUGUGGGGUUUGAAGCAUUGAUUUCCCAAAAACUAAUUAGUUCCUUUUAACUAAAGUCAUUAAUAAUAUCAUAAGAAUAGUUCAAUCAAAAUUGGAGUUUGUACUCACUUUUUUUUAUCUUUUAUAUUCAAAUCUAUUCCUAUUUUAACAAUUAAAGUUCUCAUAUAAAUCAUUUGGAUAAGUAUGUUGGAGAGGUUUAGCUAUAUAUAUAUAUAUGGACAUUUAUUUUCUCUAACAAUAUUAUUGGCUAAAAUAACACAUAAUAUGUUCGUGACAAAUAAACUUAAACCUAAAAAUAUAUAUUAAAAAAUGGUAUAUAUAUAUAUAUAUAUGAGUAUAAAAGGAAGAGAAAGAGAAUGUUACAUAAACCAAAAUUUCAAGUUCUGCAAUAAAAUACAAAGUCCAGACUUAUACUUUGGUAAAGGCUUAUCUUCUGCCAUUUUCUAGUUUUGUACCCUAAAGUGUGAUAUCAAAUCAUGGAAUAGUAAUUAGAGUUUUUCUCUUUCAUUUAAUAAAAUUAGAAUUCUAAGUUUAGUUGAAGCUGUGUCUAUUCCAAUUAAUAUAUAUUUUUUAUGUACUUUCAACUUACAACUUUUUGAACUUACAACAACAUUUAUCCAGUUAAAUCUUAAAACGUAUCUAAUUUAGUCUUUAUAUUUUUUCUACAAGAAAAAUGGUCUACGAUGACAUCUAUUUUUGUAGUAAAUAAAAUCCGUGAUAGUUAUUUGUAGUCAUAUAAUCGCAUGUCGUAGAAAGACCAUUGAUGACAGUUUUAAAAAACGGUCACAAUAAAUGUUUUCAUGACGAAAAGUAAAUGUCAUUAUUUAAUAUUUUAUGAUAACAAAUAACUGUAAUCUUUUCUAUAUUGACGACAGUUAUAAAAUAUCAUGAAUCUAUAUAAUAUGAUAUUUUUUCUCUAUCAAGAAUAUGUUAGUCGUAACCGUUUUUAUAAAUUCUUAUAUUUUUAAAAUUUAUUGCUUUAUUUUAAAUUUUGUGGCAGGAGUAGAUGAUUUAUUUUCCAACAAUUAAUAUAGAAAAACAUCAUAAUUUCAAAUUGGUGCACACCAAUUAGCAAUGAAUUAAAGUGAUGAUGUUAUCUUAAAGGUUAGAUUGGCCGUCCUUCGCUUGGUAUUUGAAUGAAUCAUUCAAGCCAAAUAGCCCAUAGAAUAGUCCCAUGACAUUACCUUUUACUACAGGUACAUUAGUAUGAACAACGAUUACAUUUGAAUAGGAAGGACUUUGAGGAUAAUGAAACAUAUAAUUAAGAAAAUCUUUACAAAAUUAAAAGUUGUUAACUACAAUAACUUUAAAGUUGAUCAAUGUAUUUAACUUAGAACAACUAUAUGUUUAAUAAUGAUAUCGAUCUUAAGAAUUUUAUCCUAGAAAAGAUGCAAGUGAGUGAAGCUAACACACGGGCUGUCAAAAGUUGUAUUAUCUUUCAAUUAUCUUUCUUUGUAUCGUCAUGUGCUGCAUGAUUAGUCCAUGCUCUACUUAGGGCCUUCAACCUCUCUCAACAUUACUACUUCCAAAAGUGUUUGAGUUUGUCCUUUAUUUUUAGCCAAAACUGUCUACCUCAUUAGCUCUUACCCAUCAAAUAAUGUAUUACCAAAACCGUUAAAAUCACUUUUAUCGUUUAAAAAUAAUUUUUAAUCAUAUUAUUACUUAUUUAAAGCUAAAUUUGACGAUAUAAAAUUUGUAUCUAAAAUUGUUAAAUUAAUUUUAAUAGUGAUUUCUAGACGUGUUUUUAGGAUGAUUUUAAAUAAUUGAAAAAAUAAUAUACGUACUGUAUUUUGCUUGCAUAAAAGUUUUAUUAUUAUUUAUUUAGUAAAAUUGCAAGAAAUUUUUUUAAGAUUAGAUUUAAUGUUUUUUCAAGAAAGGAAUCCAAAAUUACAUAAACUAAAAUUAAACAAGUGUCAAAGUACGUAACAAAAUAGUAUUUAAUUGAUAUAUUUUAUUCUUUCUAUUUUAAUGUCACAUUUACCUAGUGAAAACGUAAAAUUGAUAAAAUUUAAAAAGUGAGUCUUAUUUGAUUAUUUGUUGUGUUGUUUAUUUGUGCUUUCUGCAUUUGUUGUGACAGGUAGGGCUCACUUUCUAACCUGUAAUGAAAUAAUACAACAUUGUUGAUGAUUAAUUGAGAGUACUCAACCUUAUUGCACUGAUAAUUACAUAGUAUCAUUAUCAUUAACUGUAACAUCUAUCAUUAUUGUUAUGCUAUACAGGUGAAAACGAUCAUUUUUUUACAUCUUUAUUGUUAUCGUUUCCAAUAUCGUUACUGCUUGACAUUGAAUUUGACAAAAUUCAUAAUUUUAAGUAAACACAAUCAAAAUAAAUUUAAUUGCAUUUGUAAUUCAAGUUCAUUACAAUUGAUUUAUCAAUAGAAUUUCACUACAAUAUACACUAAUUUUUCUUACAGUUUUAGUAAAUGUGGCUAUACCAUAUGUAUACAAGUAAUUUUACCAAGUGCCAAGCUCUAACCUUCUCUCUCUCUUUUUUUUUUAUCUUUAUUUGUUUCUCACAUAUAUAAUUGUUAACUACUUUUAGAUAUGAAAUCUCGUCAUGUUAUAAGAUUUGUGAUUUGAUCCUCACUUCUAUAGUUGCUUAAAAAAAUCAAGGAAGGAUUUGAAUGAGAGAACAAUAUCAGUAUGUUUUUCUUUUGUUUUGUUUUUUUUGUUGUUAGGUACGAAUAUAAAUGAUAGCUAGCUAUUUAUGGCUUGUCAAAGAUUUUGCCAUUUGUUCUCCCCUACAUUGCAAGAUCGUCACCUAACUCCAUCUUCUAAUAUAGUUAGAUUUUGCUACAAUAACCAUUUUUAAAAGGAUAAAGACAAGAUGGAUGCGAAUUUCAACCAACUGAUCCUUUUGAUUUUACUUUCAUGUGAAUUUGCAAUAUUUCUGAAUCACCAACUCAUACUCACGGGAUGAACAGUUUUUAAUAAUCAUUGUCUAUUACUCUUAUAACAAUUACCAUGGUCCCAUUGAUUGAACUAAAAGAAAAAGAAAAACAUAUAUAUCUUCCAAAAAGUUGUCUAACAAACCCUAGAAUAUAAUCCACACAUAAUAAUCUGAUUCUCUAUUCAGUAACCAGUGAAAUUUUUUACUUUUAAAAAUAUUAUUGUACGACUUAUUUUUUUUCACAAUUUUUUAACCAUAGUUUUCCUCUUUAUCUUGAAACAACGCAUUUGAAUUGUUAUUCAACUUUUAAAAUUAAAGUAAAGAAGAAGAGAAUAAGUCAUAAAAUAUAUUGCGAAAAAAAAAACAAAAAGAAGAAAGUUGUACCUCAAAGUAGUGUUUAUAGGCUUCUUGUUGUUAAUUAAAAACAAUUAAUUAAACAACGGUAUAGGUAGAGUUGUAGGUAGCAAACAAUUUGAUAUAUUAAAGGCUUCCUUUUCAAGAAAUUAAAAAAAAAAAAAAAAUGAUUAGCAAACGAAUUUUGAGUAAAUGAGAUCAUAUAGUUCCUUCAUUCUGGAAUGUGUGAUAUGUACAAUAAUUUUGUUUUAAUUUUAUCAUUCAUCCACCAACUUUAUGUCACGUUGUCUUACUAGCUUUUGCAUCGAGUUAAAUUAUGAUCAAAAUAAAAAAUUUAAGUGUCUUGUUUGAGUUAACUAUUUGGUAAGUACCAAUGACGAAUGAAAAAAAGAUAUGAUAUUUGAUCUUCCAUGAAACUUGCACAGGAGAAUAUUUUCAAGAGCCCAAUAUAUUUGAUUAAUAAUUAUAAGAUACGAAGACUCAAAAUCUCAUGUAGGGAUCAGACAUACAUUAUUAAUACAAAGGAAAAGGCAUGCAAAACACAUACACUACGACUUUUAAUUAUAAUUUCAAAACAAGCAAACCAAAGACAUGCAUAAUGAAAACAGCUUUCAUUUUUCCCUUUUGAGAUUUCUAAUUAAGAGCAACUUUAGGGACAUUCGAAUUCACGAGGACUGUUUCUGCUACAAACGUUAAGUAGCAAGCUGAGAUUAAUUGGGAGGUUUAUAUUAAGGCCUAGAAUACUUGCUCUUAUUGCAGUGCAAAGACAAAUAGCAGCUUCAAGAUCAGCUAGCCCUUGAAUCAGAGUGCAACAUGGAGUAACAGGUGGUGAACCAAUAGUUGCGUUUACUAGGGAAAGCACUCUAGCACAUAUACCUAUCUUGAGAGCAUCUCUUGGACAAGUACCUCCACCUGUGCCUGGAUUAUUGCCACCUGAACCGGGACUAGGAGUUCCACCAGAGCCAGGACUACCACCGGAACCAGGAGUUCCACCAGAGCCAGGACUACCACCGGAACCUGGGCUUCCACCAGAGCCAGGACUACCUCCGGAACCUGGGCUUCCACCGGAGCCAGGACUACCACCGGAACCUGGGCUUCCACCUGCUCCAGGACUACCACCGGAACCGGGGCUUCCACCGGAGCCAGGACUACUGCCGGAACCAGGGCUUCCACCAUGACCAGGAUGACCCCCAAAACUCGGGCUUGGUUUUGGCCUUGUGACAGGGUGAGAACACGAGCCACAAGCAGUGACAAGGGAAAAGAAGAGAAGGUUAAGGCAGAAGAACAAAGCAAUUGAGGUUGUGGUUUUGGGAGAAGCCAUGUUUAAUUUGAAACCGUAGAGAUGUGAUAUCCCCUUGUUUACCUGGAGGGCUUCUAUGAGUUGAGAAUGCAUGGAGAAAAAAUGUGGGGAAUUGGAAGGUUUUUAUAGGGUUUAAGAAAUGGGUAUUGAGCUAUUGGGUAAAUAGGACAAUAAUUGCUUAAAAUAAAAGCCAUGCACCCAUGUGUGAUUGCCAUUUGGACUUUUAGGCUGGCAGAUCGAUCAUGCUUACAACCUAAAACUUUCUUUUGGACAUUUGCUAUAAAUGAGGCUAAUUCUGAAUUGGGUUAAAAGAUAUGUCAAAGUUAAAUUCAUAUCAAUCAAUCAAGUGAUAAAUUUAUGUAUAAUUUACACAAUAUUAUUCUCUAUGUGAAGUUUAUUUUACUUUUCCAAAUCAUUAAUUUUAAAAUUUUCAUUAAAUGGUUAAUUUAGUAACAUUAUUUUGUAAUCUUUUACUGUAUUUUUUCCUCUUCCGUAGAAAAAUUAGGAAAAAAAGUUUGUUUAGUUAUUGUUUCUUGUUUGACUUUUUGGUAGAGUACUAUUUUGUUUGACUUUUCUUGAGUACUUUUUUUUUUUAAUUUAAUUUCUUAUUAUCUCACAUUUUUAAUGAGAGAAAUGUAAAUUGAUUUUUUUAUAAGAUAUUUCAAUUAGGUUAAUGUUCAUCCAUAGAACCAAGUGGCAAAAUUUUUAUAGUCAAUUCAUUAACGCUCAUUAUUUUUUUAGAAUUUCAUAUUUAUCCUUAUUGAUUUAUAACGAUUUUUCAAUUAUGAUUCUUUUUCUUCUUCCUGAUCAUCGUCUUUCUUCUCAUUUUCUGCAAUUUUUUUCUUCAUUCCAUCGUCUUUUUCUCUUCUUCUGCAAUUUUUCUUUUAUUUUUUUCUUCGAACCGUUAUUUGGUUCGAGAUCGUGUACCAAAUAUAAAAAAUAUUUUUAUAUUUUUUUCAAAAUGUUAUUUAGUUGUUUAGAUCAUGUGAAAAAUAUAAAAGAUCACAAAAAAAAUAGUUGGGAUAUUGGAUAGGCAAAUCAACGAUAGUAUCAAAAUUUAAAUGAAUCUUUAAAAAAAUCGUUUAGAUUUGGAUUUCUAAAUUUAAACGACCAAAUCUAAACGAACGUGUACAAAAAUAGCCAAAUUUAAACUAUCAUGUACAAAGAAUCUUUAAAAAUCGUUUAAAUUUGACUGUACAAAUUAAACAAUCAAAUAUAAUCAAAUCUAAACGAUCGUGUACCAAAUCUAAACAAAAAAUAGCUAAAUUUAAACGUACAAAAGAAAGUUGAAAAAAAUUUAAACGAUCGUGUACCAAAUAUAAAAAUCUGGAAAAAAAUCGUUGAGAUUUGACAACCUAAAUUUAAACGAUCAUGUAUAAAAAGAUUAUUAAAAAAAAUCACAUUUUGAUUUGAUCUUUCCCAAAUCUAAACGAUCAAAUUCUAAAUUAUAGUUUCCCAAAUAUAUUAUGCGUGCUGGAUGGCAAUUAAUCUAUUUUUGAAAUUUUCUAUCGUAGGCCUGUGAGCUUUUUCCAUUUCAAAAUUGUUCUAUACAGUGUAAAUAUUUUGAUGGUUUGUUCUAUUUGUGAGAAGACCUCUAAUAUAUAUAAUUUAUUUUUCAAAUUUUAGUCAGCAAUUCAAUUGAUUGUACUUAAGAAAACUUAAAUUUAUAGUCCUACUACUUGUAUUUUUGUUGGUUUUUUUAAAUGCACGUUGUUUUAUUAACAUUUUUCCUCUAAAUUUUGAAGACAUACUUAUAUAUUAUUUUUUCUAUAAAAAAUAGAAAAUGUUUUUAAAUAAAUUUUAAAAAAAUAUAUUUACAAAAUAUAACAAAAUUUUAAAUUCUAUUGUUUAUUAGAUUCUAUGAAGGAUAAGUUUAAAUUUUUGUUAUAUUUUAUAAAUAAUUUGAUUUAUUUGGCUCUAUAUUUGAAAAGGUACCUAAAAAUUAUUAUUAUUAUCAUUUAAUUAAUUUAAGUAAACAUUAUUUUUAAAAAGAGUAAAUAUAAGAUUUUAUCAAAAUUACAUGAAAAAAAUUGGACAACAGUACAAAAAUAAAAUGGUGUAAACCUCAAUGCAAAAAUAAAAAAGACAGCAUCUAUAUUUUAAACCAUUUAGAAGCUAAAACAAAAACAACUAGAGUUAUGUGUUUCCAAAAUUUGAAAAUAUAAAGUUGGUAAAAUUUCUAAAAAAAAUUAAACACAAGAAAAACCUACUAAAUUAAACGCUUCUAAAAUCACUAAACAAACAAGAAGCCAUGAGGUACCAAACAGACUUAUGUAUAACGUCUCAUGGAACGAACUAAGUAUAUGUAAUAAGAAACACCAUAAUCAAUCAUUCAAUUGAGGACACUGCUUUUGUUGUUAAUUAAAUAUAUUUUAGGGAAAAAAAAAACAAACAACCCUAGUCCUUUGGUUUACAACUUUAUGUAUCAAAUAAUUAAGUCACUAAAGAUCGAUCUAUCUAUGAAUGGGGGUUUCUAAGUACUCGUAAGAUCAAUACUUGAGUUAAGUUUUCUUAAAAAAAGGAAUACCCAUUUGAUAGAAGAUUCCAAUUAGAAUCUUUAAAUUAGGGUUUAGAAGCUUAAACAUGAAGAAAGAAAUAGAAAAAGGGUCCCAUUUAGUUGUAGGUAAGCUUCACAUGUUUUGAGUCCCUACCAAGUGCUAGGCCUUGGUGUAGCUCAAUAAUGAAUGAUUAGUGUUCUACUAAAGAAAAAGCCUUAUGCAUUGUCACGGGACUUUCUUAACACUUUAACUUCUUUUAUUUUCUUUUAUUUAUUUUUUGUUUGUUUUUGUAAAAUUAUUGUUUAUUUUCAUUUCUCUUUAAUGGGUUAUUUCAUCAACUUUAACAGCUAUUGAUAUCAAUCUAAUCCUUGUCUUUGAUCGGAUUGUUUCAUUCAUAUAAUUGGAUAAUUUUCUUCUUUUUGCUUGAUUAAUUCCUUUUUCUAGAAAAUAGAAAGGUAACAAAAGAGAAAUUAUAGGUAAGAGUAAGAAUUUAAUUAAUCUUAUGAUCAACUCUUUUUUCUCUUAUGAUAUCUGAUGAUUUCCUCUUGAACUCAAAAAUUCUAGAGACGAUUUAGAAAACAAAUUUAUCUCUGCAUCCUUGAAAAUCAAAUCAUCUUUUGAAGACCAAAAGCACUUGAAAGAUGUGUUGAAUAAGAAAUCUUGAGACCAAUCACAAAUUGUAAUGUGAUUUACUAAAUUAGUGAUGAAAAAUAUAAGUAAUAAAAUUUGGGACUAAUUAAAAAAAUUGGCAUGCAUGUGUCCAAAAUUAAAAUCGAAAACAUAAAUUGACCAAUUCUAAUGAUGCCACAUGUUUUCAUUAUCACCAUUGGAUCAACUUAAUUAUUUUGGUCCAAUUAAGUAUUAUUUACUUGGACUAAGUUUAAUUGAACAAAAAAGAAAGGUCUAUAGACCAGCCAGGCUCAAACCUAUAAAGUUCAUUAGAGAACUUUAUAAAUAGAGGAGUUCUCUUUAUUUAUAAGAGUGGAAAAUUUUUUACUCCAAAAGGUUUAGAGAGAAUUCUCCUAAGAGCUAAAAGACUCCCUAACUCCUAAAGCCGACCACCCCUCGAAGAUUGAAGCUCCUUGAAGCGCUCCUUUGAAAAUACAAACUUUCUUUCAAGACUCAACUUCAAGAACAUCACGUGCUCCAUUUUCUCAAAUCAACCGUAAGCAUCAAAUCAAGAGAGAAUCAAAUGAUCAAAUUUUAGAGAUCGAACCACAUCACAUCAAAUUAACACAACUACAACAUCAACUCAAGUUCAACUCCACGAAUCAAAUUUCUUCGAAAAUCUCAUGCGAACAAAUUGGCACGUUUAGUGGGACAUCUCUAUCUCUCAUCUCUAUCUUUUCAUCUAAAUCUACAAGCAAACCAAUGGCACCAAAGAAAGUUGCAUCUAAAUCUUCUUUUGCAAGCGACGCCUACACGAGACUUGUCACCUGCAGUUGCUCUAAGGGAUAAUCCAAGAGCAGGAUCAAGGUUCUGUCAUCGCGCAUAACAUCCUUAAGCAAUUAAUGGAGCCUUCUAAGGAUGAGAUUUUCAUCAAGAAAAAUCCUCUGUAUGAUAACUCUGAUUCUGCCUUUAGUAAGUCAAAGAGAGAAGCACACUCUGAUGUGAUGUUUGUCAUGAUGGUCGAUGUAACAGUCGAGGCUGCCAUGACAAAAAUAGAGAGAAAAAUUAAUCUCUUGAUGGAGGUUGUUGAUGAACGAGAUCACGAAAUUACAAUAUUAAGAGAGUAGAUGUAGACUCGUGAAACUGCCAAAUCGAGUCAAACUCCUAUUGUCAAAGCUGGUGACAAAAGGAAGAAUGUGGUGUAAGAAAAUCAACUACAAUAACAAUUAGCUAUUGUUGCUUCUCUCUCAGCUCAACAAUUACAAGAUAUGGUCACGAACUCCAUCAGAGCUCAAUAUGGAGGCUCAUCCCAUACUUCUAUCAUGUACUCUAAGCUGUAUACCAAAAGAAUUGAUAACUUGAGAAUGUCGCUUGGGUACUAACCUCUAAAAUUCCAGCAGUUCGUUGGAAAUGGCAACUCGAAGCAACACAUUGCUCCCUUUGUUGAAACAUGCGAGAAUGCAAGAUCAAGAGGAGACCAACUAGUCAGACAGUUUGUUUGAAGUUGGAAGAAAAAUGUUUUCGAGUGGUAUACUGAUCUGGAGCCAAAAGUCAUUGACAGUUGAGAAUAGUUGGAAAAGGAGUUCCUAAACCGCUUCUACAGCACCAGACGCAUCUUAAGCAUGAUGGAGCUUACAAACACAAGACAAUGAAAGAGAGAGCCAGUCAUCAACUACAUCAACUGAUGGAGAGCUCUAAUUCUUGAUUGAAAAGAUUAACUCACUGAACUGUCCGCAGUGGAAAUGUCACCCAGGACAUGCAUUGGGAACUUCUUUAUAUUCUGCAGGAAAUAAAACCUCGCAUGUUUGAAGAGUUGAUGACUCAUGCCUAUGAUAUGGAACUAAGUAUUGGCAAUAGAGGAGCAAAUGGUUUAUGAGUUCCAAAAAUAAGGAAUGACAAGAAUGAAAUCAACGAUGCUAAAAAGAUCGUGGAUAGUGUCACAAAAGAGUCUAUUGUUGUUCAUGCGAUUCUGUUGUAAUCUUUCUCUAAAAUAAAGGAAACAAAAGUGGAAAUAAAAUAUGAUGGCGACGAAAAACAACGCCCAAAUUUUAGAGAAAGACAGGAAAAUGUUUAUUAAUUUCUUGACUCAGAUGUUGCAGACAUGCUGGUGCAAUUGAUAGAGAAACGACUUAUUCAACUGCCAGAAUGCAAACGAUCAGAACAAGCAGAAAAAGUAGAUGAUCCUAACUACUCCAAGUAUCAUCGGGUCGUUAUGAUGAGUUGGUUUCUCCCUGCUUGCAAAAUUUGAAGCAUCAUAGUUGGAAAUAAAGAACUGCCUAAGAUUGCUAGAGAUCAAAUGGAAGGUUAUUUUUCAUUGGCUACCCUCAAGAUCAAGACAAGACCUUUGUAAUAGGGGCACCUUUAAAUCUUUUUUUGAAUUGGAUGAUAUCUUCAUAACCAUAUGUAUUCUUUUUUGCCGCAAUAAAAAUGGAUUGUUGGCUUUCAUUUUUUUUUUUUCCAAAAUGUUCUUUUUGGUCAUCAUGAAAAAAAAUGAUAUUAAUGAAGACUUUAGAAAUGAAAUCAACACGAAGGUUUGAUUUCGUUUUUUCAUCUCUUAACUAUGAGGAGAUGAAUUAAAAUAUGUUGUGUCCCGAGAUGUUGAAAUAGAAAACAAGGGAAUUGUUGAGCAAGUGAGCCAAAAUCUUUAAGUGAUUAUGUUGCAAGAUAUAUGAUUCUCAACGAUGUUAGUAGAAAAAUGGAUUAUUAGGAGUUUUUCUAUUUUUAUCAAACACCAUUUGGGGGCGGUCUUCCUUUAUUUUAAUACAUAAGGUGAAACUGGCUUUAUCUAUCGAAGUCCAAGUGUCAUCCAUUUGAGUAAGACUAUGCAAAAUACAAGACGUUUGUCAUCGUUAUUUGUAGGAGAGAGCCAAUUUCGAAGAAAAUUCCCUCGCUUUAGAGACUAUAAGAGCGUUUAAAGUUCAUCACUUAUGAAGAGUUUAAAGUUUGAGGAAAGACUUUAAGAUCAAGAUCUAAGUUGCGUGAUCACUGUUUUUUAUCGACCUACUUAUUACCAUUGGUCUCAAAGACUAGAGAUGGUGUUUUAUUUGGUAAAUAAUCUCUAUGAAGAUUUUCAAAGCAAAUUAGCAGCUAGAUUACAACUUAAGUUCAUGAUGCCUAAUUGUCAGUUUUUGUGGAAACGUAAACCACUUAUUUUGUAUACUCUAACUUGUUUUCUUCUUUUAAAAAGAAUCUAGAAUAUAUUUGAAAAAAGAAAACUAUUAAAAUAAGCAUGUUUCAGUAAGCAUAUACAUGCGUACAAGCUUUCAUGAAUGACAUUUACCAAUUUGAUUUUAUCUGUGAUGGCGCUUGUUUAUCCCUGACCUCCAGCUUAUUUAUUCUUUUGUCAUGAGACACUGGUUUUAUCAUUGACCCUUGAAACCGUGUUCUUGUGAUGAUGCUUGUUCUAUCCCUAGCCUCCAGUUUAUUUAUUCUUCUGUCAUGAGACACUUGUUUUAUCUCUGGCCCUUGACACCAUGUUGCUACGAUGACGCUUGUUUUAUCCUUGGGCUCCAACUUAUUUAUUCUUUUGUCAUGAGGUGCUUGUUUUAUCCCUAGCCCUAAACACUGUAUGAUUGAGAUGACGUUUAUUUUAUCCCUGACCUCCAGCUUAUUUAUCCUUUGUCAUUAGACACUUGUCUUAUCAAUGGUCCUUGACGCCAAUACUUUAUCUAAAAUAUCUUAGUUUAAUGAGCAUAUUUAUCAUUUAAAAAUAAUAAAUUAAUUUAUUUAUAAAAAAUCUUUUGAUAUCACAUUUAUCUUAUUUGUACUAUUUUAGUAAAAAAAAAAUUUAUUUGUUUUAAAUAAAAUCUUCUAAUAUCACUUUCGACUUAUUUAUAUCAUUUUAGGACAAAAAGAAAAUCAAUUUUAAACAAUUAUCUUUUAAUAUCCAUUUGAUUUAUUAAUUUUUCACAAAAUCUCAAAAUGUCUCAUUUAAUUUACUUUAUUUAUUUUAAGAAAAUGAAAAUUUAUUUUAUUCAUGUUAUAUCCAAUUUUAAUUUUAUUCUUAUUAUUUUUUCUAAUUAUUGGUACACCGUCUAUAAAUAGGGACCUUUGUCAUUUGAAAAUAGGGGAACUAGACUUUCUUAGAAAAAAAUUCUUUAGAGAAUCUCCGCGAAUUUGAAGAAAAUUUAUGCAAAAGGUGAAUUUUAUAUUCAUUUCAUUAUGUGUCUUUACUUUUUUUUUUUCGCUCUUUAACAAAUCGAUCAAGUCCCAUGUUGAAAUAAAAUUAGUUGGAGGUUGCAUUCGAAUUUACUUCCAAUGAUCUGAACCUCAUACAACAAGUAAUCUUCUUUGGGAUUCAAAUUCUUAUUUUUCUUUUCUUCUCUUUUUUUAAAAGAUAAAGAGAAAGAAAAGAUGUAUAAGGAAAAUUUUGUUAAUUUUCUCGUCACUUUUUUCUUUUUAUCAAUUUUUAAAAAAAUUUCUUUGGCCUUUUUCUUCUCUCAAAAAAUUAGGGAAAAAACAAAGAUAUAAGAAAAACAUUUGUUUUUUUUUAUUUAUCGUUAUUUCAUUAUUUUUUUUUUAAAUCCAUGACCUUGAUUUUCUUUUCUCUAAAAUAUAGAGAGAAACAAUGAAAAAUAGAUGAAUUUUUUUCAUUAUUAUUGUUAUUACUAUUAUCAUUUUUGUUUUUAUUAUUGCUAUUUCUUUUUUUUAUAAUUAUUUUUUACUAUUAUUGUUUUUGCCUUUUUACUUAUUAUUGUCAUUAUUAUUAUUAAUUAUAAUAAUAAUAAUUAUUAUCAUUCUUAUUAUUUUUAUCAUUAAUGUUUUUUAUUUUUUUAUCCGCGGCAGCCACCCUCUCCUAUUUUCUUUUCUUUUCUUUUUCUUUCCUUUCUCAUUCUUUCUUUCUUUAUACUUUUCUUCUUCUUUUCCUUUUUUUCUCCUUAUUUUAUUUAUUGAUAUUAUGUUUAAUUUUUUUACUUAUUCACGUUACUAUCAUAAUAAUUAUUUUUAUAUACACUUAAAUGCAAUUCUUUGUAUUUAGAAUAUUUAAUAUUAAUCCUUUCAAAUAUUUUUUUUAUGUUUUAAAAUAAAAAUUCUUUUUUUAACCAUCUAGCAAAUUUGUCUUUAAUCUUGUAAAUUUUUUUUAUGCUUUUCAAAAUCUUCAAAAUUUAAUCUAUCAUUUCAUAAAGUUUUUUAAAUCAAUUUGUUCUAAUAACUUAACUGUUUUCUUUAAAUAAAAUCGUACGACAGAAUCUAGAAAAUUUGUGAGUCUGAUUUUAUUAAAUGGGUGUUGUGAGAUGCUAAUUACCAGAGAAGGUAUUAGCAUCCACAACACCAUUUAGAAAAACGUGACCAAAUUUCAUAUCUUGAAUUGAAAAUAUUUUUUAAUUUAUUUUAAAAUUAAUGUUUUAUUUUACCCCUUGUUACACCAAUAUUUGAAGCAACGAUGUCAUGAAAAUAGUGGAAUAAUACUAUAUAUUGAAGAAAAUUUCUCAUCUUAAGAAAAUGAGAAAAUUAUUACAAUUUCUCAAAAUCUAUCAUAGACUAGUCUUCGAAUAAUUUUUUUUUUUAAAAAAAGAACAUUGAUUAAUAUCAUUUUUUUCUUAGAAUCAAAUUUCAGACUCCCUAAGAUAUUGAUCCCUCACCUAAAUAAUCUAGAAAUAACGGGCUCCCAGAAAGAUUUAGAUUCCAUCGUAGGAUUUGUUUUAGCAAAUAUGUGAGUUAUUAAAAAAAUGGUUGAUUAGGAAACCUUAUGAUAUAUAUAUUUAUAUUUUAAACUUAAAAAAGACAUUUUAAAAAAUAGUUUUAUACAAAAAAUUCUAAAUGGUUAAAAAGAAAAUUUAAGAAAGAUUUCAAAAUUAGGUCAAAUAGAAAAUAGUAUAGAAUCAAAUAGCACACAACAAAUUAAGCAAAUAAGAUAAGAUUUUAUUUUUUAGAAAAAUAUUGGAUAUCGAUUUUGGACUCCCAAAAAAUUGAUUUCCUCAUUUUGAGAAUUUAGAAAUAAUAUACUCCCAAGUAUUUUUAAUUCCAUUGUGAUCGUUUUUUUCUUUUUAAGAAUAAAAUGUAAAGAAGUUAAAGUAAAUUUAUUUGUUUCUUCUAGAAAUGUAAAGAUCUUUAGAUUUUUUUCUUCUAGAAAAUAUUGAAGUAAAGAGAAAAAAACAUUAUUUAACUCAUGCAAAAUAAUAUUGUAAUAUUGUUAAAGUAAAUUUAAUGUACAACCUAAGAAAAAACAUGCAUACAUAAAUUUAAGUACAUAUGAGAAAUAACUAUUAUGAUUCUAAUGCAAAUAAGUAAAUAAGUAAAAAUAUAUAUAUAAUAACAUAGGGGAAAAUAAGGAAAGAAGUAAUAAGGAGAAUGAAAAAAAUGAAUGAAUGAAUAAGAAAAAAACGAAAACAACGAAAUGAAAUAUUUUUAAUAAUAAUAAUAAAUAUAAUAAUUGUAAUAAUAAGUUAAAAAAAAGAAAGAAAACAAUAAUAUAAAAGUUGGUACAAUAAUAAUAAUAAGUUAAAUAAUAAAAAAGUAAGGGUUAAAGAGUUGAAAUUUUAAAAAAUAACGAUAAGAACGUUAAAUAAAAACAUUUUUCCUGUCUCUUUCCUUUUUCCUAAUUUUUUUUAGAGAAGAAAAGGCUAAAUAUUUUCUUUUAAAAAAAUGAUAAAAGAAAAAAAAAAUAGCAAGAAAAUAAUAAAAAAUUGCUUAUACAUUUUAUUUUCUUUCUCUAUCUUUUAGAAGAAGGGAAGAAAAGAAAAAUAAGGAUUUAAAUUUCAAAGAAAUUACUUGUUGUAUGAGUUGUGAUCAUUGGAAGUAAUUCCCUACUAAAUGCAACCUGCAACUAAAUUUAUUUCAACAUAUUAUUUAAGUUGUUGAAGAUAAAGAGAAGGAAAAAAACGAGAUAAGGACAAUAAGGUAAUUGAUAAAAUGAAGAACCUACCUUUUGCCGAAAUUUUCUUCCAAUAAUUUUUUUGUAGAGACUCUCCUCUAAAAAAAUUUCUUUCUACAAAUUUACUCUAAAGAAUUUUUUGAUUUUUUAUUAAUUUUAUUUUCUCUACAAACUCUCUCUAAAGAAUUUUUUUCUCUCAAAUUUUCUUUCCUCACGAAAUUUUCUUUAAAGAAUUUUUUUCUCUAACAUACUUUUUUCUAAAGAAUUUUUCUUUUAAGAAAUUUUCUCUCUUUUUCAGAUGACAAAGAUCCUAUUUAUAGGUCCGGGGUGUACCAUAAAUUAAAAAAAAUAUUAAAAAAUAAAAUUAAAAUUGGAUAUUGUGAAUUAAUUAAUUUUUUUCCUUAAAUAAUAGAAAUGAGAUACUAUGAGAUUUCGUAAAAAAAUAAAAUGAUUUCUUUUUCCUAAAAUAAAUAUAAAUAAGUUAAAAAAUAUUUUAUUUAAGACAAAUUAAUUUUUUUUUCUAAAAUGAGGAUAAAUAAGUUUAAAAGAUUUAAUUAAUUAAUUUUUCCAUUAAAAUGAGUAGAAAUAAGUUUUAAAAAAAUAUUUUAUUUAAAAAUAAAUACUUUCUUUUUUUUCCUAAAAUAAGUGGAUAUGUUUAGAUGAAUAGAAAAAUGAUUAUAAAAAAAAUAUUUAGUCAUUAUCCAUAUUCCUUUUAAAAAGAAAAUAUUAAAAGAUGUAGGAUAAAAUUAGGUGGCUACAAUUAUGAUAUGAGAGCCUAGUAUCCCGAGCUGUUCGAAGAUUAGAACUUUCAAAAACGAAAUUUUCUUAAAGGAAAGAUUUGUAACACUCCAAAAAUUAAGGUAAUUUUGAAUUUAAUUAUGUUGGAACUAUUAGAUUUGAAUUUGCAAUAUUUGAUCUAGAAUCGAUAGUUUUAUGAAAUUAUAAUUAAUUAAAUAUUUUUUGGUUGAAUAUUUAAUUAAUUAGUAGAAUUGGAUUUUUGGUGUUGUUGAGAUUGAAUUUAAUUAAAUAACUGGAGUGUUUGUUUAAUUAAAUUGAAGAGUGAAAAUUUUGUUAGAUAUUUAAUAAUUAUAUGUAUACUCGGUUAUAUAUAUAAUUAUUAUGGAAAUUAGUAAAUAUAAUUUUAUCUAUGAAAAAUUAAUUAUUGUGGAAGAUAAUUAAUUAUUUUGGGAAAGAUAAAUAUUGAUUAAGAGAAGUUGAUAUGAUUGGGUAAAUAAGAAAAGAGAAGGAAUAUAAUUUAUUUAAAAGGAAGAUUGAUAAUUAUAUAUUGGAAUAUAGUUAUUAAAAAAAGAAAUGUAACAUCUCAAAUCAUUGAGUUUUUAUUAAUUAUUUAUUAAUUAUCUUAAGUUAUUUGGGAAUUAUCUUAAAGGUAAUUGUAAUAGAUAUCUAUUUGAGAAAUAAUAAUUAAGGAUAUAACAACAUUUAAAAAAAUUGCAAAUAUAGCAAAACUAUCGUUGAUAGACUUGUAUCGCUGAUAGACUCAUUAUGGUCUAUCAGUGAUAGACCAAUAUUUACAACAUGAUCUAUCGGUGAUAGACUUAUAUCAUUGAUAGAAGUCGACAAAUUUUGCUAUAUUUGUAAAUUUUUUAAAAUGUUGCUAUAUACUUAACUAUUUUGAAUCUAAUUGCUAAAUUUACAACUAUCCAUUAUCUUAAGGUUUGGAGUUGCAAUAGAAUUAUUAAUUAAGAUAAUUCACUACUACAAAACUGGCAAUAGUUGACACUUAAAAACUUUCAUGUAUCUCUUUCCUUGACGCUUUUCAAUGUGUCAAGUAAUCCAGUGUCAAGAAUAAGUGAGAUUUACUUGAUAGCUUUUAUGCGUCAAGUACAAUUAUACUUGACAGGUAAAAAAUGUCAAGUAUAUAAGAUUAUUUGAAGCUUUUUACGCGUCAAGUAAUCCAGUGUCAAGAAUAAGAAAGUUUUUUGUUUGAUAAUUUUUAUGCGUCAAGUAAAUAUAUACUUGACAGUUUAUACACGUAAAGAAUUGGUUUAUUUUUGACACAUUUUACCACUGAUUCACCAAUUUUAAUUAAGAUUGAUGAUUUAGGUGAGUGUUUUUGGAUAUUUUUAUUGUGGAAUUUUAAUACUCAUCAAAAGGUUAAUUAAUUGAGGCUCUAAAUUAAGUUAUUAUUAGAAUUGAUUUUCUUGAAAAUUUAAAUGAUCAAUUUUUUCAUCAAGGUUAAAUUGAUUUGAACCUCAAUUUUUUAAAAUUGAUUUAGUUGAAUAAUUUUUACUGUCAGCUAGAGAGUAUUUUGUUUGGCUAAUCUCUACUACUGGACAUUCGAAUUAAAUUUUAAGAGUUUGCAUGCAUUUUCUUUUACGCAUUGAUGUAGCUAAGAUGCAUAAUGCAUUGAAGUUGAUGAAUGAUAUUGAUGAUUGAUAUAUUAUGACACAUGAUACAUUAAUCACAUGAUAAGGGCGUUAUUGGUGUGUCUGUUAACUUUGUCAUGUCUGUUGAGGUUUUACCGCACCUAUAUUGUGAUUCUUUCACUACAAGAAAAUAUGUUUAUUUCCAACCCACACUACGGACGUCGAGAUAAAAGACGUCGGAAGAAAAAGCUUCUCUCGACGUCGUAGAAGCUCCGUUGGCAAAGGUUGGCAAUCCUGACGUGACACAAGAUGACGUCGGUAUAAGAUAAUGUAAUAAAAAAAAAUUUAAACUUUUUCUAACGUCCUAAACCCUAAACUUUUUCCAACGCUACAAAAGGCGAUAGUGUCGGGAAAAGUUUAACUUUUUUAAAAUAGUUUAAAUUUUUUACAAUGCCAUUGUACAUGACGUCGAAAAAGGUGUAAUUUAUUUUUUAAUCUUAAUUUUUUUCCGAUGCCAUUAUACAUGGCAUCCAGAAAUGUUUAAUUUCCCUUUUGCUUUCUUUCUAUUCUCUCGAAUAUCUGUCACUGCAUUGGCAUUGUUGAAGAUUGAUGCUGCUCUUGAAAUGGAAGAAACUUAAAAGAAAUUGGGGAAACAAAUUCGGCAGGAAUAAAGAAUGAAGAAAUGAAAAAUGAACUUUACCUUUACGUUUUUGUGAAGAGAGAAAAUGACCGCCAACAGUGUUCAUCAUAUAAUAAAUUCUGCCUGAAUAAGUGUAAAAGGUAAAUAAAUAAAAUCUUUUGUAUUUUAAUAAAGAUUUUAUCGGUUGUGAGAAAAUGUUUUAGGAGACUACAAUUUCCAAAUAUAAAUUAAGAUAUUAAUGAGAAAGUUUGGUUUGAUUAAUGAUGUUUUAUGAUUUAUCAUAAACGUUUAAUCUUUUGGUGAGUUUUCUUUUGAAGGAACCCUUAGAUGUUUGUACCAAAGGUGAUUUUCUGUGUGUUACGUGAAUGUGUUUCCACGUAUAUGAUAGAUAUUUGAUCUUCUAUGCAGCUUAAGAGUUCUCAAAGUGUAGUAUGAUAGAGAUUGCUUUGUUAUGUACCUGGGGAUUACUCGAUAUAUAGUAUGGGAGAGAUUUGUUCUACUAGCCAUUGAAGUUUUCCAUUAUACUUAGCAAUUGAAGUUUUCCAACAAGUGAUCUAUUGGAGGUUUGCAUAUUUAAAAACAUUAAUAUUAUUUUGGCUUAUAAAUAAAGUACUUGGCUUGGCUAGUCCUACUUUUUAAUUAUUUGGGAAAACAAAAAACUUCCAUGUUUCCCUUUACUAAGUCUUUAUUAAAUUGUUUCAUGUAUUGUGAUUUUAAUUAUAUAGAUAAUGAUAAAGACACCUGAUUUAAUUUUGAAGGUAAAUGUUGCAUCCCAAUAGUUUUGUUAAAUAUUUUGGUUGCCUUAUUUUAUUAAAGGUAAAAUUGGAGCAUAAAUUUAGUUAAUAUUUUUAGAUUUGGUUGUUAUGAUAGAUUAAUAUUUAUUAGUAAAUACAUGAUUAAUUAAUAUUUAUUAAUAAAUAUAUACAAUUGGCUGUAGUGGUUGGUACAUUCUCUGAAGUUGGUGAAUAUUUAUUAAUAAAUAUACGAAGUUGGCUUUAGGUUGUUUGGACUAAAAAUACAGCUUGUGGGCUUUGUGGGUUGCGUGAUAUAUUUAUGUUAGUGGAAGUGUGAAUUUAUGUUUGUGGAAGUGUGAGUGUACAUGCAACAAUUUAUGUAUCAUUCAGAAAGUCUUUUAUGAAGUACUCAGUCUAUGCGGUGUGUGAUGUUGAACAUCCUGUUACCGUCAUUGUAAAAUACUUGUUUGAGAAGAUAUGUGCAAGUUAGGGGAGCCUAACAUUGAAGAUUAUUUCAAGGAGUCUCUCACAGAGAGAGCUUGAAUAUUGAGACGCAAGGGUGAAACAUGAAGAGUAUGAUCUAGGAUCGAAUUUCUUGUUCACAAAUCAAGUAGUUUAGGGAGGGCCUAAACGUUUAUCUUGUGAAAGUCAUAUAAUUCAAGAUAGUUGAUUCUUGGUAAGUGAUGUACUUGUGAUCAUUUUCAAUCUUUAUAAAGGUUCUCCCAAAUGUAUAGUGUGAUUACACCGAACUGGGUUACCAAUGUGCUGGUGUUCUAUUCUAUCUUUUCUUAAUGUUACCUAUGUUGUUCCUUUAGUUAGUAGCUUGAGCAUUAACUUAAGCCGUCAAGUAAUUAAUUGUGACUUAUUUUUUCAAGUUUUAUAAAAUUUGAUUUAGUAAGGUUUAUUUCAAACGGUGUAUAAUUACAACGAAAAGUUUUGCUAUUCACUUGGUUUAUAAAAUGUCUUCAAGAGUUUGACUAUGAUUUUGAUUGUUUAAGUGAAAUAUGCUAUUGUCACAUGUCAUGUUCUAGGUUUAGUAUAACAACUUGGGGUUGGGUGUGACAUUUCACCACCAUGAUAGACAUUUUUGAGAACCUCACGUUAAAAAAAAUUAAAGAAUCUUCAUACUUCUUAUCGAUAAAUGUGCUACUUUCUCUCCUUGCCAAUUAAUUUUAAGUUAGAAUGACACAUGUCAUGAUGUACUAAUUAAAUACUUACAAGAAAUUGUUAUCAAAUUGAUAUCAUCUAUACAUGAGUGAGUUGAGGGAAAUCGUAAACCAAUUUAAUUAAUAACACCCAAUAUAAAAGAAUAAUUGGCAAAAAGAUGUUCUACCAUUUUUUUUAAUCACGAGAAUUCAUUUUAAAAACUGAUAGGGUAUACAUGUUGUAUCAAAAUAAUAAUAAUAAUAAUAACAACAAAGAGAGAUAUUGAUGCGAAACAUAAAAACUAAUCAGAACUAAAUUACACAUUAUUAAUUAUAGACAACAUACUUUUAUUGAUAAUCGCAUGUAAACACGUAAAACAGCAACUUUAGUUUUAUUUCAUAGCAUUACCAAACAUGAAAAUAAAAAGAUGAACUAGACAUGUAAUAUAGUUUAGUGGUUAAGAUGGAUAUGUAUAUGCACCUUCAACUUCAAGGUCAAAGGUCUUUCAAUCCCCACCUCUCGACUUUAUUGUAAACAUAGGUGCAUAAGAUAGAAAAUAAAGUGUUACAACUUCUUAUUUGUUUUUUCAUAUGUUGAAGUUGUAGAGUAAAUUAGUCACGAUCGAGGGCAUACAUUAUAUGGAUAACCAAGCUUUCGGCCGCAACCGUUAACAAUUAGAUUGAGAUCAAUGGGAAUGCGUAAAAGGAUGAGGCCUCCAAUUUUCAAUUUAAGGGCAGUGCAAAGACAAACCCUAGCUUCAAGAUCCACUAGCCCUUCAAUCAAGCUACAACAUUGAGGGUAGCUUUGGUUUGGUUGGCUGUUAAGAACUAGGUUAACAAGGUUUAACACAUUUGCACAUGCCUCUAUGUUCAGGGUAUUUCUAGGGCAAGUGACCCCAUUGUUGGUAGGUGGGGGUGGGGUUAGGCUUGGUGGGGGUGGGGUUAGGCUUGGUGGGGGUGGGGUUAUGGUUGAUGGGGGUGGGGUAAGGCUUGGUGGGUGUACAGGCUGGUAAGAAGUGACAAGAGAAAAGAAGAGAAGGUUUAGAAGAAAGAAGAUAGCUAGUGGAGAGGUUUUGUUGAAGGAAUACAUUAUUUUUUAAUGAAGUAAAGAGUUUCUUCAAACAAGGAUGGAGAAAAAAGUGUAGCGAUGGAAGGGUUUUUAUAUUGUUAAUUGUGCCAUAGAUAAGAUGAUGAGUUGUAAUUUAAUUAAUACCAACUUCAAUGCUCAUCUUAAAAUUCAACUACGAUCAAAAUGUUGGAUGUAUUAUUCAACUUUGUUUGAUACGUCUCUCUAUAAUACUACCAAUUUUGUUGUUUAAUGUACUAUCUCUUCCAAUUUUCUUUUAUUUUAUCUAGUUGAAAUAUUAUGGUGCACUUACUAAUUCACAGUGUAUUUUUGUCUAAAUAUUUGUAUAUAAUUAGUCUUUUGUUUUUUUUGUGUUGUGUGAUAUAUUUACAUGUUGUUUUGGCUUUAUUUGAUUACGCUUUCAUUUUCUAAAUUUAUGUACGUUCCUUCUCAAUUUUGUUCCGCUGAGUGUUCAACUUUUUCAAAAUAAUGUUUUAAUUAUUGCUAAAAUGGUUUUCGAAUCUUCAUUUGAUUUUUGAAAUAUUGGUAGCAAUUAAGCAAAUAAGGAUGUAUAGUGGAAACUUACAAGUGUACAUAAGCUGAGUUUUAAAAAAUAAUUAAAUAGUUAUUCAAUAGAGUUAAUGAGAUAGUACGGAUUUCUUAAAAAUUAAAAUUGUUAAUUAUUAGACUAAACAAGAAGAAAAAAUAUUAACUACGCUUUCUAAUAAAAUUUAUGUAAGAAAAAAUGGUUGGCUUUCUUUGACUACGCUUGUGUGUUUUGAAUUUACGCUUUCUAAUAAAAUUUAUGGAUGUUUCCUCUCAAAUUUCUUUCUUUGGUUUUCACAUUGGCUUUUCUCAAAAAGCAUUUGAAUAUUGUGGAUCAAAUUUUUUUAAAAUUUAAUAUAUCUAAUGAGUCUUUUACCAAAUAUAACGAAUCAGUCAAAUAUUUUGAAAAUUUUAAUUAUAUGGCAAAAAAAAUUUAGAAAAAGUAGUUCAUACCACGUCUUUUUUGCAUAUUGCAAAUAUGACAAAUAUGAUAACUAAUUAAAUAUAUCAAAGGGCAUGACUAUCAUAGGGCUAUCCACUUUUAAAUUUGUUACUUUUGCAAUUUUGAAGAUGUAGUGACAUGAAUCCUUUUAUCAUAAUUUUUUUUGCUAUUUUUGUAAACACCCCAAAUAUUUAUACUAUAUAGAACAAUUUUGACAACGUAAAAGGUCCACAAGCUCACAAUGAAAAAUACCAAAAAUACCCUGCGAUUAAUUGACACCCAACCGACGUAAUAUAUUUUUGGUAAACGAUCAUUUAGAUUUGACUAUUCUUUUUUACAGAAUUGUUUCGAUCUUUUUUCAAGAUUCUUUGCACACAAUCGUUUAGAUUUGGUUAGUUUUGCUACACGGUCGUUUAUAUUUAAUCGUUUAAAUUUGGGUAGUCAUAUCUAAACUAUUUUUUAAAAAAAAAUUUUGUACACGAUCGUUUCUAUUUGGUAUACGAUCAUUUGGAUUAAUUUUUUAAAUUUGGGUAGUCAAAUUUCAAUAAUUUUUUUUCAUGAAAUUUUGGUACACAAUCGUUUAGAUUUGGUAGACGAUCGUUUCAAUUUGGCUAUUUUUUCUUACACGUUUAAAUUUGGCUAUCCACUUAUAAACAACUUUUUUAGAAUUCUUUGGUACACGAUCGUUUAGAUUUUGCUAUCUAAUAUUCCAACGACUUUUUUUCACAAUAUCUAGAAUCAAAUAACAGUUUGGAAAAAAAAUAAAACAAAACUUACGAAAGAAAAGAAAAAUAUGAUAGAAAGGAAAAUAAAAAUUAUGUUGAAAAAAAAGGAUGACAAGGAAGGGUAUAAAUAUUUAAAAAAAAAUCCAUAAGAAAAGAGAAGAUGAUGAAAAAAAAAUUACAUAGAGGAAAAGAAGAAAUAGCAAACGUGGAAUAUUUUUAAAAAAUGACAAGCUUCGUGGAUUUUUUCAUUUUGUUAUAUAGAUCGUAAAUAUUUUGUUGGUUUGUUAUAUUUAUGAAAAUUAACCUGUAUUUAAAUAUCUUAAUUUGAUUUAUAAAACAUUAGUAGAAAACAUAUAAUACAAAAUAAUAGAGAUAGUAAGAUUGUAUGAAUUUUUUAACAGGCUCGUUGUAAAAUGAACAAAAUAAAUUCUAAAUAUAUUAAGUAAUUAUAAUAGAUAAUUAUUUUAGGAUUAAUAAUUAAGGAUGUAGUAUCAUUCUUUAGAAAAAUGUAAAUAUAACAAAGUUUAUCGGUGAUAAACUUUGACAAAUUUUGCUAUAUCUGUAAUUUUUUUAAAUGUUGCUUGAUGUAUGAACAGGUUUCGUCGUUCAAACUCAUGCCAAAUAAUAAAUCUAAUCACACACCAAGAACUACUCUUAGUGGCAAAGUUCGAGUCGAACUUAGAGAGCAUAUUGACUUCUCAAACAAAUUAGUUCUCACCCUGUGACCGAGGGAGGGUUUAAGUAGAAAUUGAUGCAAGACAGUAAAUUGCAUAAAACGAAGGUGAAACUUGAUAAAAUCCAAUGACUAAAGAAUCUAGCUUCGGUUAUUACAACUUCAACCUAAUUAUCUAAAUAAUUUAUUAUAUGUAAUCUUCACUUAACCAAUUUAAUUAAUUGGAAAAAAGGCUAGUUAAUUUGUCCUAAGGUUUUAAUUGUUCUAACCCAAUGUGAUUCAACAUGCAAUACUGAAUUUUCCAAAGAGCAUUAAGUUUCUUUAGACAGAGUGUCUAAUUUUCCAAGGUCUAAUUAACAUUAAAUAAUAGGUUCAAAUUCUAGUUUGGUUAGAAGCACUAUGCAUCAAAAUAGAUAUUUACAUGCUAACCUAACCUAACCUAUUGCUUCUAACCAAUUCUUAUCUAAUUGCCAUGAGUAAAAGAAAUUAGUGCAAAUAUAAUUUACACAUUUCUCACCAUUCAACAUGCAACAAAAUAUCAAUUAAAUUCCGAAUUGAACCAAGGAUUAUAAUAGAAACUAAGUUUCAGUUCUCAUGAAUUCUAUAGGACAAAGGGAGAAUCUAAGAACCCUAAGCUAGAGACGAGUACCUUAGCCUCUCAUCUAAAUGCCGGAUGAUGAGAAGAAGUUUGGGAACCAAAAGUACACGAAAGAAAGUAGAAAAUAGGGAGAAAAUUAAAAGGGUGGAGGUUGGCUAGAAAGUAAAUUAGGUUUCAAGUGGCGGUGGAACUUCUUUAACUCUUUUAUAAUAAACAUCUAGGUGCUGCGGCGCUCAAGUCUUCGCACACGUCGUUUCACAUUUUAUCUUCAGAGCACCGUGGUGUAGAGAUAUGUUCACAAAAUCUCCCACAUUCUGCCUUAUUGCAGCGCCACCUUAGGCGUUGUGGGGCACCAUGGGCCUACAAGGAAGAAUCCAAAUGGCUUCUUUUGCUUCAUCUUUCUCCUCAUAUUGCAAAACGGUUUGUCUUGAUUCACAUCGUUUAACUUCGUAUUGGUCCAAAUUAGCUCCAAAAUAACAUUAACUUCAAAUUACACCUAUGAAUUGCUCAAAACCUAUACCACAGUCAAAUAAGAUUGUAAAAUCAUGGAACGAGCUCAAAUUAAACGAAAAUAAUGGAUAAAUAUUUCAUACGCUAUCAUUGCUAUAUAUACUAAUAUUUUGAAUCUAAUUGCUAUAUUCACGAUUAUUCUUAUAUAUUAGGUUCGUAAUAAAAACUUUUUAGUUUUGCGAAAAUAGCAAAAGACCAAGCUCAACCCGCAGUUGAAAACAUCAAAUGUAAAAAUGUAUAGUUAUACGUGAUACAAAUUUGAUAUACACUUGAUAUAUUUAAUACACCUGUGCAUUUGAUACUAAUAUAGUUUGAUGCACUUAAUAUACUUGAUACUUCUUAAAGGUUCAAACUGCAAGACACUUUCCAAUAUAUGAUUAUUGUUAGAUUCACGAUACACUUGAAAUGUUAAUUUUUUUAUCUGUAGAAAAUUUGAUAUAUUUUUUUUAUUGAUGUAUUAUAAAUUACCAUCAGUGUACUAUAAUCUUUUAUAUACUAAAAAUAUGGAUAGGUUAGAAAAUUAAAGAAGAAAAAAAAUAUUGAAAACUAAAAUUUGCUUAAGAAAAAAGAGAUGUGUUGAAAUAUAAAAUAAAAUAAAAAACAACUAUUGGAAGUUUUAUCUAUAUAUACAAAUAUAUAGAACAAAAGGGAAAAGGUGGUUCAAAUUAAUGAAACAAAAUUAAAAAGAUGCUUUUUCCAUAUAAACAAGAAUGCAACAAAUUGAAAUUUUAAAAAUAGUUUAUUAUUAUUUUUUUAAAAAAAGAUACCAUGGGAAGAUAAGCCCAUAACAAGGUACCCAAAGAGUUAUACAGAAGCAUGGAUAUUUAAAUGAAUCGAACUGACAUUAUAGUUAACGAAGAGCUUGAAUCUAAUAAACAAAUGUCAUGUUGAGAGCUUGAACAUCAUAUAGUCCAUUUUUCUGUGAUUUCUCUCCAGCCACAAUGACCAUAGAGUCACAGCAACAACGUUAAAAGCGAUAGUUCCUUUUCUGUCAUUAUUCUGAUUGUUAGAAAAAAUCUCUUUAUAGAGGGAUUUAACGUUGUCAUGAGUAUUGUACCAAUGUAACAGAUUUCUCCAUAGUUCUUGGGUGGUUUUGCUAGAAAUGAAAAUGUAAUCCAUGGUCUCCUAGUUGUUUUUACAGGGAGAGCACCAUUUGGGUUGAGGUACCAAUUUGGAAGCGUCUUUAUAACUUUGAUGCACCAAUUUGGGUUUAGGUACCAAUGUGGGUUGGGUCCAUGGUCUCCAAAAUUAGUUUAUUAUUAGAAUACAAAAGGACAAAAAUUAUAACUAACAUGUUUCAUAUGGCAUAUAUAUGUUUGUCUUUUAGGCUUUUGUUGGUAGAUGCAACUAGAUAAAUUAAACUAAUUAUUAACCAAAUCUUUUAAGUCUUUAGACAAUUAAUUGCCACUAAAUGAGGAUUUUUUUGAGUGGUUGGAUUACGUAAGUACUUUAAUUAAAUCCAUUAAUAACUCUUUUACAAGUCAAAUGUUUGAAUAGUAAUCCAAUAUUAAAUUCAUAAUUUUCUAAAAAUGAACAUUCUUAAUCGAGUUGAUAAACACUUUUUUAAUCAAUAAAAUAUAUAGUUGGACAAUAUACAUGCAUCUAAAUCAGAGAGAAUACGAAAAAAAAACAAAAGUUUAACGAUAAUUCAUAUGAAAGGAAAUAAAAGUAGCUACUAACAAUGACCAUGGUAAUUUAUCUUAUAUAUCGAACCUACUUUUCUUUUUAAAAAACUACAAGUGUUACUUAUGCAUGCUAAAAUUCUAUGGCACCACAAUGAUUUCAAUUAUGCACCUAUGUGUCACACAAACACAUAAUGUGAUCAUCAAAACAUGCAUGAUCAGGAUAAAGUAAAAUCGCAUGUGUACACCAAUAAAAUGUUUCUUAUCGCACCACAACGAUUUUAAACACGAUACAAAUAUGAACAAAGCAAAAUUAGUGGAACAUGCAUGCAUGCAUGUCUAUCAAAAUUGAUUGACCAAAAGUUUUCAAGACUUUCGAUCAAACCAAAUUAAUUGUUCCGUUUCUCACAAAUCUCAUAGUGAUGGGUCGAUCCGCAUAGAACCAACUAAUUUUUGUUUAAGAACUACUUGUUGCAAGGUAACCAACAGAGGGAGGGUGUGGAUUGCUGAAUGGGAACAAAUGAAGACUAAAUCAAAGGACAAUGCAAGAACACAAAUCUAAUGAUGGUGGUGAUGAUACUAACCAAAUGAAACAAAACACGUAGCUAGCUUGAGAUUUAUUUCGAUUUACUUUUAAUUAACUCUCAAUCAUUGAUUUGGCAUUCAUAUUGUACCCUUAGCAAACAAUAAACAAUUUCUUAGCUAACCACGUCCAGAGAAACUAGAGUAGUGUCCUAAGAUUCAAAUCAAUUUUUAUGUUUAGAUGAAGAAUCCUAAACAUGCAAACCAAUAAGCAUUAACGUUUGAGGCUAAAAACUAAGUAGAUCAAACACAUUUUGAAAUUGCCUAAUUGAAUGCUCAUAUGAAUUCAAUCCUAAGUUAAUUAGACAAAUGUCAUUAGAUUGGAAUAGUCUAAUUGAUGAACAGUUCUAACUUAACUUUUGAUAUCACAUGAUCUUCGACAAUUACGGAUUAAAUUAAACCUUUAACAAUUUAUUAAAUACACAUAGCUAAUUUCAGUAUUCCCAAAAUACCAUUCAAUCUCAAAACAAAAUCAAGGAAAUGAAUUCAAUUAUUCAAAUAGUUUCCAAAAGACAAAUAUUCAAAAGCUCAAGAAUGUAAAUCAAAAGGUGAAACUAAAAGCUCGAGCUAGAUAUAAUUAGUACAUUAACCUAGAUACAUCGUCAAAAAACAUGAAAAAUAAUCAAAAGAGUUCAAAUCAAGGGAACAAAAUAAUGUGUUUUUUUCUCUAAAGUGUCUCUAAGUUUGUGUCUCCAGGUGUGUGGAAUAAGGGUUGGCAACUAGGAUAAUAACCCAGAAAAAUAUAACGGUGUCACAAUGCGCAUAUAAUCUUCCUCUCAAGUUUGGAGCGCCAUGGCGCCCAAGGACAGUGCCACGUGCACGAAAAGAGGCCUUUUUGUCUUUCAACGCUGUGCCAAUGCCCAAAAUUAGGGCUCUUAGCCUUUUAGUGUUGAGACUAAAAUUUUCGAACAACAAAUCAUUGUGAAUUGGUUAACGCUCUAAAUCUUCAAUAACGACUCUCAUUUAGUUCUGAACUAAACAUUAAGGUCAAGAAUUAUCUGAAUUGAUCUCAACACCUACAAAGCCACAUCAUGCGAAAGUAAAAUUAUGAAAUGAUCUUGAUAUUAGUAGAAUAGAAAAGAUAGCUUAUUUUGAAAGCUAUCACAAAUAUAUCAGUAAUCGAUAAUAUCAAAUAACAUUUUUUCAUAACCACCAAGUCUUAAAGCCUUUUAUCGAAGGAGCCACUUAGCUCAAAUGGAAGUUCGAUAAACAACCCAUAUAUAAUUAUCAACGCAAACUCUUGCUUGGGACACACUAUAACAAUUUUGCACACUAAAUGAUCCCUAGACCAACUAUUAAUCUUGAACCCAAAAGAAAAAGAAAUCCAACUUAGUCCAAAUAAUUAACUGCAAAUUUUUACAAAUUAAAUAUGCCUAGCAAAUUAACUAUUAAAAUUGAAUAGAUAACAAAAGAAGCCACCUGUAACACUUUCUUUUUUUUCAUAUUACAAAUAUGAUAAGUAAUUAGAUAUAUCAAAUGACUAUUCUCUUUUAAAUUUGUUUUUUUAGCAAUUUAGAAAAUGUAUUGACAUUUUAAGUUAAUUAAUAGAAAAUUAAACAAUAGAAUAAACGGAACAUUAUUAAUGAAGCUCACUAAUAGAAGUGUAUAAAUUUUGAAAUGAUUGGAGGCUAAAUCAUGUAAACUCAAAAUCUAUGAACAAAAGAGUACCUUUCUUCGUUUAAUCUACGUUGUAAAAUAUUGCUAACAAUGAGAGAACUUAAAAACUUUUUUGACUUGUUUUUGUUAAGGAUGUACACAUUUCUUAACAAGUUAAAUUUAUCAUCAAAUGGAUUCAAAUAUACUUGUAACUUGUGAUACCAACCAUUGUUUUAUGUAAAACUAAUAAAACAAUUACUAAGCAAGGAAAGUUGAAAUAAUGAGUUGUUUCGCCAUUAAUUGUUGAUUUCGUAAAGUAAGUAUUAAUAUCAUAUUAAAUGAAAGGUUCAAUCAGUCAACACAUAUGAAAAUUGUGGAAUGGCCUUUGCCUACGAUAAUAUGGAUUCGGGACUUGAUGGCAACAACCAUUCUCUGGCAUCUUUGCAACCAUGUAUGUCAUGCUAUAUCUACUUGUCUUAAACUACUUACAAAUAUAAGAUUAUUGCCACAGACUAAUUAGCAUUGAAUCCUUUCAAUGUACUCAGUCUUUCGAUUGAUGCUUCUUCUUCGAAGUAUAUUAGUGGAAUUUUUUACAUGAUUUGUGUUCUCACUUUACAUGUUUUCUUAGAAGAUUCUCAAAACAUCAUAAAAUUACUCUAUGUCAAGCACACUUAAUUUUAGAAUUCUUAUGAUUUAGUGGUUAAAAAAGAAUGCACACUUUGUUUGUAUAAGUAGUACUACCAAUCAACUCUUUUUAAGCUUCUCUUGAACAAGCUUUCAUGUUCUUCCUAUCUCUUAUGUAGAUGUAAAUUUGGAUCAUUCAUAUAUUUAAUUUCCGAUAAACUAAGGACAUUACAAAAAUUAAACAAUAGCACUUCAUCGAUCAUCCAAAAUCGUAAACUUGGGCAAUUGGCAUAUUUAGGCCCUUUCAAGUUUUGAUUUGGAAAAUAGACCUAGUUAGAAAAGAAAAAAACUUGGGUACGUGCAUCCUCCCAUCUCUCUCGACCAUAUAAAAUUAAAUUAUCUAAUACUUUUUAGAAAUAUUUUAUUUUUGUAUGAUGAAGACAUAUAAAAAAGCACUUGAGAUAGAUACAUCUUCACUUUAUUUUUACCCUUCUUUUCUCAUUAAGUACAUAAAAAGGCUAUUCUACCGUAUACUUUAUUAUUGUCAAACCUUCAAAAACUUUUUUCUCGUUCUUCUUUUUUCCAACCUAUCACGUCCUUUUCAAUUUUUUUUUUUCAACUUUUCCAUUUUUAUCUAUCAAGUUUCAUCAAAUUUAAUUUUGAUUGCCUUCGACGAAUUUGACAUAUUUGGGGCUGGGAAGAGGAAGAGAGGGUGGAUCAAAGUGGAGUUGGAGUGAAUAUUUGACAAUUUUAUUGAUGAUAUUUUUUAUGUUUUUUAUUGUAACUCAACAACAAGAAGAAUUAAUAUUUCAACAUUUAGCCUUUUGGUUGAAAGUAUUUUUGUUAUCAAGUUUGUUAUAAUAUUGUUGUUUGUAUGCUUAACUGAUAUUAUAUCUUAUAGUAUAUCAUGUCUGUUUGAGUCUCCGAAUAAAAUGGUCUAUUAUCACUCAUAUAUAAUUCUAAAUAUUUCUAUUAGGGUAGAAUAAUCGGCUAAUUUGAUCCAAAUUAUUUAACAAAGAUGAAAUCCAAUAUUAAAUUUAGUUGACUGAAAUUAACCUCUUAUGAAAAUGCAUUAACAAAGGUGGCUACAAGACAGAAAAUGAUCAGUUUAUCACUAUAUCCAAACUUUAAACAAAUAUUAAAAUAAUUAAAUUAAUGAUAAUACUUUUAUCAAUAUCUAUCCUUAAUUUAAUAAGUUCUAAUGAUAGAUCGUCAAAAUCAACCAUUUCACGGCUCUCAUGUUUUUGUAUCUUUAAUAGGUUUUUUUUUUGUUUGAUAUUUUCUCUAGGAAAAAACUGACAUAUAAUAUUUGUUUAUAGUUGUUAGGAUAUUUUAUCAAAUAAAUUAUUCUUUUUAGGAAGCAAUAAUAUUUUACCAAUCCUUCCUAAUAUCUAGGAGUCGUGGUGUAAGUUUGUUUCCUUUUUAUAUGGAAAAGGUUAUCUGCAUAAAAGAUAUGAGGAGAUUUUAUAUAUGUGAUCUAUGAUGCAUAUGUGAUUUGACGAAGAAAUUAACAAUUCGGGUCAAGGUGAACGUUUAAUGGCUAUAUUGUAUUUAGCUUGAUAUUGAAGACUUCUUGUUGUGAUGUGAACUUUGAGAAGAUAAGAAAUAUACUCGAAGAGCAAUGAAUUGAGGGAUCAAUUCACAAAGUCAGGGAGAACCUGGACUAGUCUUAGAGGAGAUUUUGAUUAUCUUGAGGAGAGCCUGUGUUUAUAUUUUAGUUGUGAUUAUAACUACUUUAUGUAACUAGUGAAAUAAGUUUGAUGAGUCUCAAUAAUAUUUCUGAUGUGAGCAAACAAGCUCCUCAAAUGUAGGUUGUAUUUGCCGAACUGGAUUACCAAAGUACAUUGUGUUAUUUAUCUUUAGUGUGCUCUGGCUAAUCUUGUAGUUCAAUACUUGUGAUAUAGCUCAAGAGUAUUUAACCUUCUCACUUUUCAAGGAGUGUUUCCUCGAGAAGCAUGCGAAUUUGAAGCCCAUAUUUUAUUAAAAGAAUGUAUUUAAUAUAAAAGAUAUUCUUUUAAUUAGAAGUUUAUCUCAAGAUAUUAUUUUAAAUAAUAUAGAUUUGUUGGUUCAAAAUUUUAUCUUUCCUUCUUUCAUGGAAUAUGACCGUAUCUUGAGUUUCUAUAUAUUUCCUUCUAGUUGGCAUCUUGGAGUGAACGAGUAAGUGAAAAUGAGUUUUUGAUAAAGGAAAUCUAUAAAACUAGAAAAAUAAUAAUAAUAAUAGAACCAUGUCACUCCAUUAUAUAAAUGGUAAAAGUAGCAAAUUUAAAGGCUUAUAGCCCUCUGAUAGUCAUUGGAUAUCAUUAAUUACUUGUCAUCAUUUUCGCAAUAUGUAAAAAAACAUGUGCUAUGAGUAGUUUUUUUCUAAAUUGUUUUGUCAUCAAAUGUAAUUUUCAUUUUGGUAAUAUGUGAAGGAUAAAUAGAGCAUCGACAAGUAAGCAAACCAGAUUGUCUGAAGUUAUCUUUCUUUGUUUUGUGAAGAAUGGCUGACUCGACAAGAAGAUCAAACUUUCCUAUGAUGAAGAAAUACUAAAUCUUAAUCAGAUGAUUGAUGAUAAACUUGAUUAGGGGAAGUCUUUACUGUCAAUACCUUAAUAUGCUGAUAUGAGAUAAAUGAUUAAGGGAGAGUUUUUACCCUAAGUUAUCUUUAAUAUUUAUUAGUGAUUAAUUUACUCCCAGGAAAGUUGUAUCAGUCGAAGUACAUAAUGAAUUUUAUAUGUUAAAUCUUUGUAAGUAUGAUCAUAUAGUUGUGAUUAUGAUUAAAAUCUCAAAGUAAUAAAACCUCAUAUCUCGAAUCAAGGACCCUAGAUGUAGAUGUUGUAUCAUCGAACUGGAUUAACAAUGUUAUUAUAUUUUUGUACAUUUUGAUGUGUCUUUCGUUAUUAAUUAGAGGUUCUUCUAAAAGUACAGUUGUUGACUUAUAUGCAAUGUUUUAUCAUAAUAUAAUCUAUCUAGGCUUUUCUAUAUGUAUUUCGUAUCAUAUCAAAUCGUUAUUUUAUCUCAUUUCCUAGUUGCCUCCUCAAACUGAUAGAUUCUGGAAAACAACCUGACUGUCCUUCCUCCUCAAAUUGAUAGAUAGCUAAUUCAUUGUUUUUUUUAUACAGAAGUUUUUGCUUCCAAAACCUCGAUUCCCCCAUAGGGCUUUUCCUGAGUAAACAAUGUAAGUCCACAAAAAUUCGUAAGGUACGUUAGUUCCACACAAGUUAUGUAGGAAGUUGUAUCCCAAUAAUGCAGUGUUGAACCAUAAGUUGGCAUGUGUUCUUGAAGGACAAUAAUGUUCUUCGACCCAAAGUAGAGUCUGUCUCAAAACUCUAACUAUUUUCUUGAUUAUUAACAUUUUUUUAUUGUUUAUUUGUUUUGUUAAGUUAUAGUGUUCCUACACGACUGACUUUCACAGUUUUAAUAUUGGCAUAAAAAUGAUUUGUAAGGAGUCAUAACUUCUUGUUUCUUCUUCGAGAAAGUGUCGUCUGAAAGCGUAUAAAUUAAAAAUAAUCAGCCUAAUUAUAAAAUGGGAGACAAAGGAAAGGAAAAUCUAACUUCAUAUAUCUAUGAUCUACCAAUUAUUCAAGUCUAUUUUAUUGAUAAAGUAAAUGAUAUAUAAGAUGCUGAUAGGCAAGGGUAAAGAGAAGAAUUACAAAAAAAAAAAAGGUAUUUUAAUAUAAUUAUAAACAAAUAAGAUGAAAAUUAAACACUACGUAAAUUUGGCCUCUAAUAUUAACUUUUCACUGACAUUAUAGAUGUACGAUGUCGGUCAAGCCUCAUAAGUAAUCUUAUGGUAAGAUCUAUUUGAGAAAUAGUUAAAUUUUAACUUCUAAAAUCAUGAACUAAAUAUUAAACUAAAAAUGACUUAUAAUUUAGGGAAAAUUGAUUUACUAAAUAUAUAUAUAAUUGAAGGACAAAAAAACAAAAAAAAUUAGAGUAAGUUUACCUUGUAGGGCAGUGUGCAAACGUACAUUCUUGAUGAAACAGCAAGCGAUUAUUAAAGAUAAAAACACUAACGUCUUCGACAGAAGAUUUAGAACUAUAUUAAAACUCAAUACACUAGCAGAUCUGAAGCAUCCACAGCUGGCGAACGAUUUUAGACAAUGCGGGCGGCUGGAAAGUCUAAUCGAUGGCAAAACACCAGGGACUAGACAUGGUGGCUAGACAACGCACGUAUGGGGGAGCGGCUAGAUCAACGAAACCUAGUAGUGUCAUCGGUAGGAUCCACUUGCUCAUUCACUGACAAAAUGCGGCGAUGAACCUAAUCGAAGCGUCCGAAUGAAUGACCAGAUGAACGGCGACCUCGUGGUGCGACUUCAGUAAAUUGGUGUGCGGUGUGGAUAAGCGAAGCGCUCAGCUGAGAGGAGGGAGAGAUAUUUGUGCAGACUAUUGGCAGACACAAACAAAGAGCCGACUGUAACAAUGUUUCCCUUUUAACCCUAAACCCUUAAAAACAUAUAUAUAUAAAAUAAGAUAAACUUUUUCUAUAAAAAAUGUGGGUCUUUAGUGUCGAUUUUGAACUGACAUUAUAGAUAUAUAUACAACGUUAGUCUAAAACCAACAUUAAUCUUCUGGGUGGUAAUUCAUCAUCCAUUAGAUUCUAGGACAAUAUUACUAAGAAGAUACACAAGAAGCUUUAUAACUGUAAAUAUUCUUUCAUUUCAAAAGGGGCAAGAUCACUCUUAUUAAUUCGAUUCUUGAUAGCCUUCCCAUAUAUCAGAUGUCUAUCUUUACAGCUCCUAAGGGAGUAUACAAAAAUAUUGAGAAAAAUUGGAGAGACUUCCAAAGCUAUGAAAAACUUGAUGGAAACAAAGAGUUAUGGGAUGAGUUUUCAAAAUAAUGACAUUUAGGACAAAUGAGCCGAAGAAACAUCUAUUUUGCCCUUUAGUGGAUAUAAAAAUUCUAGAUCCUCCACAGCUAUCUACGUAAAAACCCAUCUCGUCAGCAAUUCAGAUUCUUGUUGAUAACGAUUACCCCAACGAUCGUGAUAUCAGAGUAGUGUGUGUGUCAGCAACGAUACUUACCUAACCGACUAGUGAUGGUGAUUAGGUACCCAAACCAAUGAGAUUAGCAUGAGGUGGAUCUCAUCGGCGGCGAAACAUGGAGAAGAAGAUAGAUAAAAAGAAAAAAGAUUGAGAGUUACAAUUUGGUGUAUGGAUGUCACUGCCUUUGAAAAGUUAGUAGGGAAAGUAAAGAUGGAAGGUCUUUUUUUAAAUAAGAAAAGUUGAUUCCGUGUGUCUGCAACAUAAGAGACGAUAGAUACUUAAAUUUUUUCUUUUACAUUUUAUUGAUUGGAAUUUCUUAUAAAUUUGUUAGUACUUAAAUAAAUCUAAAAACCUGCUUAAGUAUGUUUAAAAUCAAUUUUAUAUGUGUUUUGCAAGAUGAAAAUUUGUAACUAAAAAUUUGUUAAAUAGGUUUAUAGUCACUCUAAACUAUAUUUAAAACAUCUCAAACAUGUAGAAAAUUUAUUGGUUAGAAAGUUUCACUUUUCGGGAUAGUGAGAUAUCAUUGUUCAAACAAUAAGAGAGUUACAUAUUGAAACUAAUAAGAUUUAUACUUCUUAUAAAAUAGAUGAACUACUCAUCUCAUUGUCAAUUGAUUUUAAGAUGGAACUCUCAUACUAGCUAAAAACUUUCGAUACAAAAUGUGUAGCUAAAAAUUUCUUAAAACAUGGAUAUAAUCAUCCUAAAUUAAAAAGAAAAUAAAAAGUGAUUUAGGUUUAUACGUUUAAGCCUAAGGGCAUAAAACAAUAAAAAAAAAAAUGAAAACAUCUUAUGAUAGUUAGUUAUAUGUAAUUUUUUGUAUAUUAACGACUGUCAUGAAAUGUCACGAAUUUAUAUAAUUUGACAUAUUUUGUUUGUCAAGAACAUGCCUAACCAAGUCUAUCAUUGAAUGUCAAUAAUAUGUCUAGCAUAACUAUAAUUGAAUGUCAAUAAUUUUUUUUAAAAAAAAAAAUCAAAUAUCAUAUACUUCUGUAUUACCACUUUUUUAUUUUUUUACAAUCAUAUGAAAAUACAUUAAUGGAAGUCAUUAUUUCUUGCAGCUCUACCAUUACACAAACCAGUUCAAUUAUAAAGUACUUAUCCAUAUGAAAACAAGUAACCAUUUUUGGUAAAGGAUUUACAAGAAUCUACAUGGACAUGUGGUAGACAGAUAGACAUAUAGGUGUGUGCAUAAACAUAAAAUAAAAUACUACAAACUUCUUGUUUUAUUCACUCAUCUUGAAGUUGUAUAGUCAAUGUUACAUUUUUUUUCCCGACAAAUAUGGAAUUAGUUUCUUUUUUUUUAAAGACAGAUAAAAGAUCUUUUAUAUUGAAAUAAAGAUAAAAUAUCUUCCAUAUUUAGGGCUCUUUUCUCUUUUUAUUUGAGAAAAAAAUAAAAGAUCUUCUUUUAUAUUUUAAAAAAAGAUAAAAGAUUUUCCUUAUCUUUAGGGAUCUUUUCUAAAUAUCUUUUAUCUUUUAUCUUUUAUCUUUUUAAAAAGAAUUGUUAUGUGCAAGUGAUCGUAGAUACACACCGAGUGCGAUUGUACAAGAACAUCUCUUAUCAUGCAAAUGACCCACAGAAACACCCCUUCUUGUGUGGGUGAUCGUAGGUACACACUCCAUAAACAUGUUCGUAAUACGAAGGUACACUCUUUAUUGUGUAAGUGGGUUCCGUCGAAACACCCUUUAUUGUGAGAGUGUCGCGUAUAUACAAUAAAACUAUCCCCUAACAAAUGAUAUGUGAUCUGUAGGCACACCCCUAAAUCGUGUGAGUGCCCCUUAGAUAGAAUCACCUUACAGGUGGGGUAAAAAGCUCAACAUACAAAGUUAACAGAUACACCAUAGUCCAAAAGUAUGUAAUAAUCAACACAUCAUGACAUAAAUCAUCAAUCAUAGCAGUCCAUAAAACAAAACAAUCCAUAAAGCAUGAAAUCCAUAAAUCAUGCUUAAUCAUCAUGUAACGUCAGUCAACAACUAUAACAUCUCAUUAUGCAUUUUCAGCUACUAUUAAUGCAUAAUCACAAAACACAUAUGCAACUCUUAAAAUUGAGUUCGAAGGUCUAGUAGUAGAAUCUCUUACAUGAGAGAUUAGUUAACAAAUAAUCUCUAGCUAACAGUAAAAAUUCUCCAAUUAAUUCAAUUCUUAGUUAUGCUAAGUUUGUUGCUACAAACGAAACCACAAUUACCGUAGCUUACCAAACUUACCUAAACGGAGGUUGAAAAAUUCUCUCAACCUUGAUAAAAAGAUUUAUCACUUAAUCUUUUGACAAAGGAACCUAAGUUACCAAACUUAACUAAAUGUGGUGGGAUGAGGGAGUGAGAGUUAUUUCAGUGAAAUGAUGAAAACUCUUUUCUUUUUCCUUUUCUUUUCAAUUAAUUAAGUAAUCCAAUAAUGUUAUUUAUAAACCAAAAUAAUAAUAAUAAUAAUAACCACAUAUAUAUAUAUAUAUAUAUAUAUAUAUAUAUAUAUAUAAUAACCAAAAUAUAUAAUAAAAUAUAUAAUAACCACAUAUAUUUAUUCAAACUCUUAUUCCAUAAUCUAACUAAAUCUAUCAUUUUUUUUCUAAUCAAACCAACCAUGUUUUUCCUUAUUAAUUAUCUUAUUUUCCAAUAAUUAUAAUUAUAUUUCACGAUAGAAUUAACUUUACUUUUUUAUAUUAAUUAUUUAUAUAAAAUCAAAUAAUUAAUAUCACAUUCCACCCAAAAAAAUUUCUUAAAUAAAUAUAUAUAUUCUUAAUUAAUUCCAAUUUGGAACCAACUUUUCUUUGAGAAGCUCAAAUUCUCAAUUCUUUUUAAUUAACUAAGUCUUCUCCAAUAAAUCACGUAUUUUAAAUUUUCAUGAAUUCCAACAUGAAAUAUGAAAUUCAAUAAUUCAAUUUACCUCGAGAUAACUUCCAAAUAAUUUGAGACAAUCCUCCCUAAAAUUUUGGGAUGCUACAUUUUUAUUUUUCCAAUAAUUAUAUUUCGAUAUAUAAUUAUCAAUUUUUUUUAAAAUAAAUUUUAUUCAUUAUCUUUCCUUAUUCAACCAAUCAUAUCAACAUCUCUUCUCAAUCAAUAUUUAUAAUUAAUUAUUUUUCAUAAUAAUUACUUUUAACAAAUAAAAUAAUCUUUGCACUUUUCCAUAAUAAUUAUUUAUAUAAGUAUAUACAUUUAACUAUAAUUCUACCGACACCCAAAUUCACUAGUUAAAUAAAUAUUCACUCAAAGGAAUAUUUAAUAAAUUCCAAUUUCAACUUAACCAAUUAAUUCUCUUUCCAAAUAACUCAAAAUAACACCCAAUAAACUCAAACAUAAUUAAACAAAAUUAAGAUAAUUAAAUUAAAAUUACCUAAAUUUAUGGGCGUUAGAGGGAGUUCUCUAGACGUAGAUGGAUUCAUCGAACUGGGUUAACAAUUAAAGUUAUUUGUGCUGUCUGUAUUAUUUAUCUUUUUUGUUCCUUUAGUUAUUCCUCUAGUUGUUAGUUAAAGUAGUAGCUACAAAAAAAUCAUACUAUCUUAUUUUUAACCGUCAAUUAGAUGAUAAACAUAAAUCAAGAAGAAUGAGCUUCAUUGCAUCUGUUAAGUAAUAUAUAUCGAGUGUAUGUGAUAUUAAAGGGUAUUGGGUUUGAGGGAGGGCUAAAACAUUUAGAUUAAGGCUUCAUUACAAGUGUUCACGUUUAGAGCGCCAUAACAAUACUCUAUGCGAUUUACACAAAAUUUGUGUUCUCUGCCUUGCAGCGUGCCUAGUUUAGCACAACUAUGCUCUAAUGGUAAUUUGGCCUUUUGAUCUUUUUGGAUUGAUGCAAUUAAACUUUGUAAUUUUUUACCGUUUUAGCUUCCAUUUGUCAAUAACACCCGGGUUCCACUCUUUGGGUGGUCAAAAGUUAUGAAAAUGAUCAAAUAAACAUGUAAAAUCGAGAAAUGAUCUCAAAUGAAGCAGAAAAUAAGAUAGGCAUUAGUGUUAGAAACUACCCCUUGUGGAUAGAACAAACUACUCCUAUUUGAAGGCUCACUACCUUUUAUCUCAAAUCUAUUGGUAAUAAAAUUACCUUGAAAAUCAGUUGUUAUGGGGUUGGACUAUGACUAAUAGAUAUAAUUAUUAGCCAUUUUGAUUCAUAAAGUUUGAAGAAACUUCAUGCUCCUGUUUUUAGUUUUUAAUCUUCUUCCCUAUUUAAUUUUCUUCUCAGUUCUCUCUAUACUUAAUUUUAUAUAUAGUUGAUUUAUGUUAUUCUAUAAAUUGAUAUUUUAAUUUAAAAAAGAUAAAUUGUAGAAAUGUAUAAGCUACGACUACUAAUCACACCGAUAUACCAAAUUAACAUUAAUUUUACUAAAAACAGAAAACUCAAAUAACUAUAUGUUGUUAUACUAAAUAUAUAUGCACUAGCUAGUCUACCAAUUAGUCAAAUUCGUUAACAAUAGAGAUUACAAUUGUAUUAAAAAAAAAAGGUGUUAAUUUGGGUAUACUAAUCCUACCAACACGCUCAAAACCAAUUAAUCUUUCUGUAGUACAUCAUCAACAAUAUAUAUCAAAAUUUUAAUCUAUCAAAUAUCAAUGAAUAAACAUUAGUACAAAAGUAUUAGUUAAUUUAAUACAGUUAUGAGAUAUAUCAAUUAAUAAACAUAUUAAAUAUCUAGUCCGUCAACAAACUAUCAUACUGUUAGAUAUCAGUGAAGAAUAAUUUUAAAUAGUCUACAGGUGUUUUCGAUAGUAUAUAUCAUAUAUAUAAGAUAUAAGAGUAUUGAUCACAAUCAACACAAAUAUACCUAAAGUACGUAAGACAUAACUGUAUCAAUAAUAUAUCUAACACCAAUUAAAAUUAAAGUAUUGUAUCAGUAUGUUAGAUAAACAACAUGUUUUUAUAUAUUGAUAAAUAUAAGUAAACACGUAUGACAACAUUAGUUUAAUUUCAUAAUAGCUUGCCAAAUUACAUGAAAAUAAAAGAUGAAGAAGAGUAUAGUGUAAUGGUUAAGAUAUAUGCAUAUCUAUGUACCUUCAACUCUAGGGUUGACGGUCUUUCAAUCCUAACCUCCAAACUUCGGCUUCAAACUUAUGGAACUUAAAAAACAUAGGUGCAGACAUAAAAUAAAGUAUUACAACUUCUUAUUUUAUUCUCUCAUUUUGAAGUUGUACAGACUGAAUUAGACGAUUAGAGUUCAAUUAUUGCAUGUGUUAACCAAUAUAUCGAGCAUGGCCUCAACGGAUGUGUUGACAGAGAUUGGAUUAAUAUCUACUGCAAGAUCUAGGGCCAAGUUUAAACAAAUCUUAGCAUUAGUAGCUACUAGCCCUUGAAUCAAAUCACAACAUGGACGUACGGGUUCCUGAGAGCCAGCGGAUACAGUAAUAAAACCAAUUACACUUGCACACGCACUUACAUUGCCGGAGCAAUUGGUGGUCGGGCUCGACUCUGGUACAAUUGGUUGAGCAAUGGCAAGAGAAGAGAAGAGAAUUAGGUUGAGACAGAAGAAGAGAGCAAGUGAAAAGGAUUUGUCGGAGGAAGACAUUUUUCUUUUCUUUUUUUUUUUUUUUUGAAGAGAAGAAGAAAAGUGAAACUGUUUGGAGUGAAAUGGUUUUUGUUUAUGAAGUAGGGAUGGAGAAUAAAGUGUUGUGAUGGAAGGGUUUUUAUAGGAAGAAAUGUGGAUGGUUAAAUUAUGGUAAUUAGGAUAUGAGUUUUAAUUAUAAACCCAACUUGGAUAUGCUUUCAAAAUUCAACUAUAUAUCAAAAUUAAAUAAUGUGUUAAUAUU
rnacentral:lncRNA from 1 species